CUGGCAUUCCUCACUGAAGUGUGGUGGCAGUCAGAUGAGCUGGAGUUGGUCACAUGUGGACGUAGGGACAGAAACUGGAGCUCAGAAAGACCUGGCCCCACCGCACAGCAAGGAGCACCCUGCCAGGUCUGGGGACCAGGGCCUCUGCAUGCUAGGCGAGCACUGUACCAUGGAGCUACAUCCCCAGACUUUAAAAUUUUUUUUUAGACAAGGUCUUGCUAAAUUGCUGAGGCUGGCCUCAAAUUUGUGAUCCUCCUGCCUAAGUCUCCUGAGUAGCUGGAAUUACAGUCAUGUGCCACCCCGCCUGGCUCUUAACAUUUUUUUUUUCCAGAGGAAAAACAUCCCACAAUAAACAGCUUUACUUUAGCUGUUUAUAUAAAAAAUAUAAACUCCAUGGUUUAUCUUUGGAAGACUCUAGAUUCCUGGCGCUUGUGGAAAUGUUCAGCAUUGGAGAAAAUAUUCUGGGGCAUGGUCCUUAUUUUCCUUAUUCUGCAACUUCCUACUGAUGGGCAGCUGACUUCAUGCUGGGAGAAAAGUUUUGGGUGGAUUAUAUUUCUGAAGAUCUGAGCCCUGCUGGGAUAUCUGCGGGCGGUGGUGGUUGCAACCCCCACCUGGAGCAGCAGGGGGCAGCCUGUAGCUAGGAAUCCUCCACCAGGCCUGCAGAAUCACUGUGGUUCUUCCAGCCCUCCAUGGUCAACUGUGACUGUUUCUGAUCCAAGACAGAAAACAAGUGCGACAUCCAAAGAAGGAGUCCAUGGAGGAGGCAGCAGUGGGCUGGGGGGUCAGGUGCUCACAGACAGUCCUUCUCAACAAUGGAUUCCAGCAGGGUGAACAGGUAGGCCCAGGCAUCUGCCAAUCAGAAGGGACGCAGAGCCUCCUGCUGCUCAGGCGUGGGGGCCUGGGAUUGGGCAGCAGCUAUUCCCUGGUUGAUGUGAGUGCUAUCAAUAUGCUCCCAGGCCACCUGAUGAGGGCUGUGGGUGCGCUCUGUGUGGUGGGAUUGCUAAUGAGGACAUGAGUCUGGGGAGCGGCCUAGGCUGCUUUGCUUUUGCCCUUCCAAGCCUGCAUCUGAGCCCAGGACUUGCCCGGCCCUGCUGACCUGUACAGGGGGCCCAGCUGGCUCCCACACCUCAGCUGGGAUUAGCCUAACUCCUGGCUGAGUAGUUUGGGAGCCCUGCUUGUCCCUGGCUGCUGUGUGUGGGGUCUCCCUGGGGGUCUGACUCAAGGAGUUGGGAAUCAGCCUCUGAUUCUGCACAGUAGGUGUCUGAUGGGAGGCUCUAAUAAGGAGCUUGGGAAUGGGGUUACUGGGGAGGGGCUGAGGACACUGCCAACUAGUGACAACUAGGAGAUUCUGUCUCAGAGACCUCCUAUAGUGCUGCCCUUUGCUGUUGGGGCAGGAGCUAACCCCUGGCCUGACCCUCAGGUGAGGCUGCAGGGACCAGGACAAGGCCUGUCAAGCAACUUGACUGGCAGGUGUUUCUGAGCCAGCAGAGACCAGGAGAGAGAAGGUUGUGGGUGUCCUGAGGGAAAGGCCAGCAUUGUGGCACAGACACCACUAUCUGGCUCCAUCUGGCUCUGGAACCAGGGGCUGGGGGCCAGGUGCGCAUGUCCCUGACUGGCUGGCUUCUACUGCUACAUCAAAAAUGCUCUUUUGCCCAGGCCCACCUGAAUUUGUGCUGUCCUUCUGGUGGAGUGCUUGAGUUCCAGCUGCUGAGAGGAGUGGGAGAGCUAGUCCUGCUAAGGCUCCAGGCUCAGUGUCAACCACUUGGCUGAAAGGACAUGAAUGAGGUCAUAUUGCCCAUAUGAGCAUCACAGUCCUCAGAUCCCUCCCAGCUACCCUGCCUUCUGUGUCUACAGAGGGCUACGGAGUGGACCAGAGAGUGGCAGGACCGAGGGGUGUCGAUGACAGGGCUCCUUUGCUCCCUGUCAGGUGGGGCUGUUGUGCUGUGACUGCUCAGUGGGCUGCAUCCCUGCCACCUGUGCCUUCUCGAUGGAGUCCUCCAGGGAUGGGAUGCUCAAGCCCGAUAGCUGGGGCAGCUUGCCAGGUAGCUGGGUCAGGCGGGGAGCAGAGGAGGGGGAAUAGCAUAGCAGGCAGAGGGAACAGCGUGGACAAAGGAGUGAAGGUGAGGGUGGCAUAAAUUGCAAGUAGUGCCUGUGGCUGGAGCCCAGGUGAUGGGGGAGGUGGGUGAAGAUGGGAAGGAACUAGAGGCUUUGAGGGGCAAGAGGUCUCCCGUGGGGCAGUGGGCAGAUGGUGGAGUGGGUGCCCCUGAUGGAUUUGGUUGAGGUGGGCACACCUGCUUACAGCUCAACAUACCCUGUGGGCCAUGGAGGAUGGCUGGGAACAGCCUGGGGCUGAGGGCCGGCUCUUACCCCUGUAGACUGAUGCCUGUGGCCUUAGUCCCUCUCUGACCCAGCAAGACAAAAGGCUGCCCGAUGCGGUGCUGGCCUGAUGGGUGGUGAAGGAGCAGCUUUGGUUACCUGGAGACAGAGGGUGUGGGUGGUGGCUGGUUGGGGUGGGUGAGGGGGACCUGGCCAGGUGGAGCGUGGGAUCUGCGUCAGGCCAAGCUUCCUCCUGGCUCCUCUUCACCCAGAAGCCCCUCCUGUCUUCCUCCCUGGAGAAUGGACAUCCUCACCCCGACCUGCCCCUGAAGGACAGGAGGAGAAGGCGGGUGCCAGGGCCAUUGCCGUGCUCGUCCACAGUGGGGCUGUUCUUGACUCCAGAACUGACCAUCAGCUCCCAGGCCUGCAGCUUGCUGAGCACGGACCUGGGCCUCCUCAGCCUCGGACAGUGUGCGGCUGCCCGCUCUGUCUCCCUCUUUCUCUGCGUUGUGUGGUGCUGGGGCUGGAACCCAAGGCUGUGGCACGCGAGGCAGGCACUUUGCCACUGAGCUACACCCCAGCCCCCUCUAUCCAUACCCAUCCCAUUGUUCUGUUUCUUUGGAAAACCUUGGCAAGGAACAUGGGGGUCACUGAGAUGAUCUCACCCGAGGAACGGCCAGGUCAGGUGGUGGAGGGGCUCCGUGUGGCCUUGACCUCCUGAGCGCUCAGGUCCUGCGCUCUGGUUUCCCAGCAGGUCGGUGCUCCCCCUCUGCCAUCUCCCAGAGAAGUGCCCGAGCCCGGCUUCUGAAGGAAGAGGAGCGUAUGCCCAAGGGCCACGGAGAACAUCGCACCUCUAAGGGUGAGGGCUGGGAAGUGGAGAGGGAGGAAGAACUCGGGGUCCCCAUGCUUGGUUUUCAGAGGUGUGAGGUUCUGGCAGGAGGGGUCCACGCCCUCAAGUGUGGUGUGGGGGCGGUGGGGCAGGACACAGCUCUGGCUCCGAGCUGCUUGGCAGGGGCAGGUCCUCUUAGGUCUUCGUGCUGACAGGCACUGGCGGUGCAUGCUGCCGUCUCAACGUCUUCAUGUAACCCCACGAGGACACACUGCUGUGCCCCAGUUGAUCAGUGAAGAAAAGAGGCUCAGCCAGAGUGAUUUGCCCGAGAUCUCCAGGCUGGUGGGUGUGCAGAUUGGACUCCUUGUUCGGGGGUCUGAGGCCACAUUCCUGCUCCUGUUCCUUACUCCCUGAGGGGAACUCUCUCUUCCCUAAUCAGAGGAGGCAGGGAGGCCUGUUAAAGGAAAAUGUCUGACAAUGAUUUCGAGGAGAAAGUGAUACUGGAGGCAAAUGAUGGUGGGAAAUGAUGUGUGCUGAUGGAACGUUCAUAAUUCCUGGCUCAUUAGUAUGCCAGUGUUAAUCUUGUUUUAAUCACUGCGAAGGCCACUAGCAGCCUCCUAAGAUAUAUUGAUUCUGUAAACUGGAGAGGAACCUGUCAAUCAGGAGGGGGUCCCUGGGGGUCUCCACACACAGUCCAGGGAAGAUGUUUGCUCCAGAAUUCUCCACCCCAGUCACGGGCUUGAAUUAUGAGCCCUGCUCUUGUUAGAGCCAUUCUGCCCAUUGGGAACGAGAAUGGGUUUGCACUUAGAGCUCCUGUAAGUUCUCCCGGGCCCCGGGGCACUGGAGUGGGACACCUCUUGCAUUGUGCAUGAGGGCUGAAAUUCACUUAGUGACUGUGUGCAGAAAGGUGGUAAGACGUGGUGAUGAAGAGCCAGCACUUAGAGGGAGCCCCGGGUGAGAGGCUCCUUCCCCCACGGGCUCUCAGAGCGUUCCUAGUGCGCACUGGCCCAGGGCAGUGCUGGUGGCUGGGGUGGUGUGCGCACACCCUCCUUUAGGGCUUCGCUCUGUAAGUUUCAGGCCAGCCCUGGUAAGGUGGGAGUGUGACAGCCCCCCAGGGUUAUGGCAAAAUGAACCUCCCGUCCGGGGUUCAGUUCCUGUGAGGCGCAGGCAUCCGGUUGGCAUGGUGUUGACUGGCACCAUGCCAAUGCUGUUGAAGCCCACAGACAGUGAGUGACCCCAGGAAUGAGGUCCCCUGUGUUGGGUGACUUGGUUUGCUGUCACAAAGCAGGUAUCUGCUGGGGAGCUGUGGGCAGCUUGGACGGGGCUGGUCUCCACAGGGAGCGCUGGUCAUUUCUGCAGCUGCGGGGUGGUCCUGCCAGGCGGCUUUGUUCUUCCGGCUUCAUCUGCGCUCCAUCGGAACCCUGUUUAUCCCAGUUUGCCUGCAGCGUGACUAAUUGUCUUGUUCUCAGCUAUUAUGCCCAUCUGUACAGAUCUUCGCUAUCAGAGCCUUGGGUCUCAUUUAUUAUUACUACUUUAAAUGCAUAUUAUGGUGGCAAGAAAAUUUGACGCGAGUCCCGCCCUUUCCAGAAACUUAAGUGUGCAAGAUUGUACUGUCCCUGGCAGGCCUGAUGGAGCCCUGCAGCCCUGGUUCCUCUUGCAUAACUGAAAUUUCAGGCCUGUUGAGUAGCAGCUCCCCACCCUCCUCCGGCCCCUGCCAAUCACUCACUCUGCUUCUGAGCUUCACUGUUUUAGAUGCUGACUCCGACGCUGGCUGGCUCCGCUCACCUACAUCCUGUCCUCCAGGUGCCCAUCCCAGUCUAGCACAGACAGGAUUCUCCUUCUUCUCUCCUCUUCCUCCUCUUCCUCUCCCUCCUCUUCUCCUUCUCCCUCCCACUUUUCCCUCUCCCCCUCCCUCUUCCUUCCCCCUCAUUCUUUUCCUUCUUCUUUCGCUCCCUUCUCUUCUUCCUCUUCCCCUUCCCUCCCUCUCCCCUCCUCCUCCUUCUUCCUUUAAAAGAAAAGCUGAGUAAGGUUGUGUUGUGUGUAACACCACAUUUUCUUCUUCUAUUUAUCCACCAGUGGAUUCUUAGGUUGCUUUCGUGUCUUGGCUAUUGUGAAUAGUGCUGCAAUGAACAUAGGAUCCUGAUUUCAAUUCUUUUGGAUAAAUAAGUGGUGUUGGCAGUUCUAUUAUAACUUUUUUGAGGAACCUCCAUAAUGUUUUCUUUUGCUACUGAACCCAGGGUGCUUUACCACUGAGUUACAUCUUAGCCCUUUUUAUUUUUUAUUUUGAGACAGGGUCUCACUAAGUUGUUGAGCCUUGCUAAGUUGCUGAGGCUGGCCUUGAACUUGUGAUGCUCCUGUCUCAGCCUCCCAAGUCACUGGGAUUACAGGUGUGCGCCAUGCCACCUGGCAAUCCACUCUUUUCAAUAAUGGCUGCAUCAUUUCUAUCACCAGCACACAGUUCAGAUAUUGCCACACCCUUGCUCUCAUUUACCUUUUGCUUUAUUUUUUUGGUAGUAACCCAGGGGUGCUUUGCCAUUGAGCCACAUCCCCAGCUCUUUUUAUUCCUUUUUUUAAAUUGUAGAUGGACACAAGAUCUUUAUUUUUGUUUGUAUUUUUAUGUGGUGCUGAGGAUUGAACCCAGGGCCUCAUGCAUUCGAGGCAAGCGCUCUACUACUGAGCCACAACCCCAGCCUUUUUUUAUUCUUUAUUUUGAGACAGGGUCUUGCUAAGUUGCUUAGGACCUUGAUAAAUUGCUGAGGCUGGCUAUGAACUUGCUCCUCCUGCCUCAGCCUUAUUUAUUAUUAUUAUUAUUACUAUUAUUUUUUAUAAUAACACUCUUAGCAAGUGUUAUGCAUCUUUAUGCAUCUUGUUGUGACUUUGAUUUGCAUUUCCCUGAUGAUUAGUGUUGCUAAGCAUCUUUUCAUAUACCUAUUGGCUAUUUGUAUAUCUUCUCUGGAGAAAUAUCUAUUGAAAUCCUUUGCCUAUUUUUAAAUAAUGUUAUUUGCCUCUUUUCUAUUGAGUUGCAGGGGUUCCUGAUAUACUGGGGUGUUAAUCCUUUAUCAAAUAUAUAGUUUGCAAAUAUUUUUUUCCAUUCCAUAGAUUACCCUUUUCAAUCUGUUUCCUUGUUCUGUAGGAACAUUUUAUUUUUCUUUUUAAAAAAUAUUUUUAGAUGUACAUGGACAUGAUAUCUUUAUUUUUUAUUUUUUAAUGUGGUACUAAGAAUCAAACCCAGUGCUUCACACGUGCUAGGCAAGUGCUCUACCCCUAAGCCACAACCCCAGCCCCUGUAGGAGCAUUUUACAUUCCAAAGAGUUAGCCGGGAGGCUGAGGCAGGAAGAUUGGGAGUUCAAAGCUAGACUCAGCAACCUGAGCAACUUAGCAAGACCCUGUUUCAAAACAAAACAAAACAAACAAACAAAAAAAAAACAAAGAGUUUGGGAAUGUGGCUCAGUGGUUAAGCUCCCCUGGAUUCAAUCUCCAGUACUAAAACAAAAGAAUGAAGUUGGAGCCUGUUACGAGCCGAGAUGUUCAUGGGUGGCAUGUGGGUCACCGUGCAUGGAAGCCUCGUGGGUAGAGACAUCUAGUGUCUGAGAAUAACCAGUGGAAAUUUCCUCUGGUCAAUUGCCCAGGGACAAUGUGAAUCUCUUUCCUGCUCUGCCAUGGCCCAUACAGUACCUGAGAUGGGUGUGACCUGCCAAGGCAUCAAUAAACCUGCUGACUACAAGAUAUCAGGAAGCAAGACUCUGCCUUUGAAACCUUACCCCUGCCUUUGAUGUACCCCCUUAAAUAAACCACCGAAGCCAUUUUCUCUUUGUCUAGUUCCAGAACCCAUGUUCUUUGCAUUAUGUAAAUAUAUUUCUGAGUGUCUGUGUUUUGUUACUUAUUAAUUAUCUGAGAUUGUAAGUUUUAGGAGGCUGGGAUUCACCUGGGCAGGAAGAACCCUGCAAAGAGACGCUGGCUCCGUCGUCCCCUUGAAAGGCAACUUUGUCUAUACCUCAGACAGAGAUCAACUCAAAAUCAUUUAAAGACUCAAAUGUUUUUCCUGAAACUAAAAAACUUCCAGGAGAAGACGUAGGAGAAGAGUGACAUUGAUCUUGGCCAUGAUUUCCAGGGUAUGACCCCAAAAGCACCAUCAGCAAAAGUGAGAAUGAGCAGUGGGCUUCGUCAGAACCUUGGGGUUCAUUUAACCAGCGCGCGGUUCUCUUUCUGGGGAGAAUUGAAACCAGGCCUCUCACGACUCCCCUCAGCCCUGUCCUCGCCUGGGCUCUGGCCUUGCCAGGUGCCCACCUUCCGCCUGCGCUUCUCCCUGGACUCUGAUCCAGGUUGGCCCCACUUGCCCUUCAGACUCGUUUUAAAGCCUUCCCAUAGCCAGGUCCCCACCCGGCUCUCCGGUGGCCUCUGUCACUGUCCCCUCAUUGCCUUCAUCACUCUCGAGUUAUUUUGCUCACUGUCUCUUUUCUUUGCUAGAAGUAAAAUUCCACAGAUGCACCUCCAGGUCCACCUGCAGCAUGCCCGGUGCCAUUCCACCUGGAGACACGGAGGGCAGGCGGGAGGCUGCAGAUCCCCACAAUUGUCGUCCCUGUUUGAUCCCUGGAUCCUGAGGAGCUGGACAGGAGCCCCAGGUCCUGCAUUCCUUGGGAGCCGCUGGUCCUUGGGCAGCCCCCCCAGGGCCUCUGCUGUCCUUCUGCAUCACCGAGGACAGCCAGGCGCUCUCCCUUUAGAAAUGCUCUCUCAGGACCCCUGAGCCUUGCCGCCAGCCUCAGUUCUGAUCCCUAGAGCUGCCGAGAGCAAGACCUGCCCAGGAUGGCUCUCCAGCCACCGAGGCUGUCUCUCAGAUUCUGAGGAGGCAGCUCUUCUCAGGACGGGCCCCAGGCUCCUAAACAUUGUCCUGUGGCAUGCUUUCUAGUUGUCUGGCUGUCAUCUCCUUAUAUCAGGGUCCCCAGGAACCUGGGAGGUUCCAGGAGUCUUUCAGGGUGUCUGUGAAACCCUGAUAUUGUCUGUGACCUUCUUAGCAGGUGUGUGGUUUGGGGGUGGGCAGAGGAUCUGGAGGCUUCCUGGCUGCUCUCAAAUGGGAUCCGGGCUGUGCCCGGGAGCUCUGGGCUGUCCCAGGCCAGGCUUGCCUUCCACAGGGAUGCCUUCUCCUUAACAAUGACCACUUACUAUGAGUGGCCCUGUCUUAAUGACACUCUGUCACAUUCGGCCUUUCCCGGGGUCCUUGCCACUCCCUCGGGGUGCUCAAUUCUGUGAGUCAGAAGUCAGGUUCCCGGGGUGUCUGGGUAUGUCCUGGAGCCGCGUCCUUAGGUGUGCAGGUUCAGCACGGAGGCACCUUCCCGGCCUGCUUUGCGUCACUAGGAGGUGAGUUUACUGUCAACAAAGCAGUUUCCUCCAUUAACACGGCUCCGCUGUUUUCUUUUGGUAAAUAUUUGCUGCUGUUUCCUCCCAUCAGUUUAUUUUAAAGAUGAAGCUUUAUGUUUAAGUAUGUUUCUUGGAAACAGCAGAAGCCUGUUCUUAAAAAAAUUCUAUUCGACGACUUCUGUCUUUCACCUAGCAAGUUUAGUUCAUUUAUAUUUAUUGUAAUUGUUGAUAACUUACAUUUAUUUCCUACCAUCUUAUUUGGUACAUAUUUGGUACUGCCUUUUGGAAACUCAUUUCCAUUCUCUGUUACUUUGAAGGUUAUAAAUUGUAUUUCUCUUUCUUAGCUCUUUGAAAAUUGCUUAAUUGCUAGUGGAUUUCUUUAAAAUUCUAACAUAUGUAUACAUAUAUAUUUUUUCUAACAUAUAUAUUUAAUUUCUGAAGUUAUGCAAUUUUUCUGUCCUUCUCUCAUCUUGUCUAAAAUACAAGAAUUUUAGAAUGCUUUUUACUAUAAUUACCUAGUCCCAUUUUAAGCUAUUUUUUAGCCAGUUUUUUGGUUCCUUUUUAUUACUCCUCAAGUGAGUUAUGGUUGCUUCAUUUAGUCCGAGCUUAUUUAGCCUGUUGGCCUAUUUCCUUUCUUUGCUAAUCUGGAGCCUUUCUUCUGGGUUCCACCUUCUUCUCUUUGAAGACUUCCUUUAGAACUUCCUCUACCGAGGACCUGUUGGUAAGUUCACUUAGCUUCUACUUCCCUGUAGGUAACUUCAUUUCCCGUCAUUCUCAAGGGAUGAUUUCACCAGUUGUACAGUCCUACUUUUUUUUUUAAUAUUUGUUUUUUAGUUAUCGGUGGACACAACAUCUUUGUAUGUGGUGCUGAGGAUCGAACCCGGGCCGCACGCAUGCCAGGCGAGCGCGCUACCGCUUGAGCCACAUCCCCAGCCCCUGUACAGUCCUACUUUGACGAUGAUUUUUAUUUAGAGUUUUGAAACCAAUAUCACGUCAUGUUCUGGCUGAUGCCGCUGUACAUCAUCUGCCUGCCUCACACCAAGGGGAAGUCCCCUCCCUGUUGCUGUCCACAGUGUCCCUCCAGCUUUGGGAUCUUGCUUUUGACCGCAUCUUGAGUCUCAGGACUCUCCCUGGCCCUUGGCAGGUGGAUUCUCCUUUGCUUUCUGCAUUUUCUUAUUUUGUGCAGAACCUGCCAGAUGCAUGUGAGCUGGUCCCUCUGAUCCUAGCCGCUGCCUCUCACCUUCCCAUCGCCCCCCAGUCGCUGUCUGUGGCUCGCCCUGCACAUCUUUGGCUGCACCUCCAGCCCACUCUCCCCACCCCACCAGCUCAUUUCUGCUUUACUCAUCCAUUGAAUUUUUAUUUUUAGUCAUAUUUCUUCCUCCAAAAAAUUUUUGAUUUUGUUUCUUAUUUAUUCUUUUUCUUCUGUGUUUUGUUUGUUUGUGUUUUGAAUUUUAAAUGUUUUAAAUGUAUUUUAAAUGUUUUAAAACUUAAUUUGUAUGCUGCACCCACUCCUUCCACUCCCUGGAAACCCUGCUGGCUGGUGCCUGGUUCUCGAGCCCAUGAUGGAUCCUCUGGGGAGCACUGGGUGGAGAGGCAGCACAGGUUAGGGGUUCAGAGAGCAGACUGGGACCAGACUUCCUGGGUCUGAAACUCACCUCUUUUCGUUUGCUGUGUAUUCUUGAGGAAGUUUCUUUUUCUCUUCAUGUCUUCAUUCUUUCCCAUUCUGAAUCCAGGGAUAGGAAUGAUACUAACAACAAUAAUAAUGAGAAUAAGAAUACCUAUCAUUAUGGGGUAUGGUGCACAUGUCUAUAAUCCCAGCAGCUUGGGAGGCUGAGACAGGAGGAUUGCAAGUUUAAAGCCAGCCUCAGCAACUGAGAGACACGCUAAGCAACUUAGUGAGACCCUGUUUCAAAACAAAACACAAAAAGGGCUGGGGAUGUAGCUCAGUGGUAAAGUGCCCCUAGCUUAAAUUUCCAGUAGCCAAAACAACAAACAAACAAACAAACAAAAACCUACCAUUAAGAGAAUGUUGUGAGGAUCAAGUGGGACAGUACCUGUAAAGGAUUUAAAAUGGAAUUUGGUGUGUGUCAAUCCUUAAUGAGGCUAAUCUUUUAUUGACUUGGCUUCUCCCAACCCCGCACCCCCACUGGUACAUGGGAUUGAACCCUGGCUACAUCCCUAACCCUUUUUAUUUUUUAUUUUGAGACAGGGUCUUGUAAGUUGCUGAGGCUGGCCUCAAACUUACCAUCCUCCUGCCUCAGGCUCCUGAGUCACUGGGAUUACAGGUGUGUGCCACCAUGCCAGCAACAUGACUAGACUUUUUCUUAGAAAUCCUAUAUACCUUGGAUUGAGAAUAUGUUGCUUGUAAGAGAAUUUACAUUUGCUUUUGCCAAGAACCUGGGAGACUAUGAAUCUAAGACCACUAAUUUCUUGUCUUUGGUUUCCCAAACCAUAUAGUUGGUGUCCAUUCAACUCCAAACUCAACAAAGGCGGGUGUGUGAUGUGGAUUCUCUGGGGAGACUCUCGUAAUCAUUUAGAACCUAGGAGUUGAGAACAAGCAUCCCCUAUCUUCUCUUUUUGUUACUUUUUUGUCUUACAUAAUCCUAUCACCGAGGGUAUGGCCUCUGUAUUAGUCUGUUUUCCACUGCUAUAAUUAAAUACUCGAGGCUGGGUAUUUUAUUGAUAAAAGCGGUUAAUUUGGCUUUAAACAUUUUGGAGGUUCAAAGUCUGAACAUCAGGGUGCUAGGUCUUGUUAGGACCCAGCUGGCUGUAUCACAUCAGGGUCGAUGGCUUCAUGGUAGCAAUGUGUGUGAGAGGGAGCGAUCACAUGGUAAGACAGAAAGCCAGAGACCAGGCAGGGUCAGGUUUGCUUUUUUUUUUUUUUUUAAGAUGGCGUGCUGCUAUGUUUCCCAGGUGGGUCCUGAUAUCCUGGGCCCAACUGAUCCUCCUGCCUCAACCUCCCAGGUAGCUGGACCUACAGGUGCUCACCACCAUGUCCAGCUCUGGCUGACUCUUUUACAACAACCCUCUCAUGAGAACUAAGUAGGCCAUGGGCAAACUCCUUUAAUCUGUCUGAAGGCAGAGUCCCCAUGACCAAGUGACCUCCUGCUAUGGUCUGCCUCUUCAAGAUCUCCCCAGCUCUUAACAAGGCCACACUGGGGACCAAGCUUCCGGGGAAAAGUCUCAUCUGAACCACAGCAGCCCCGAGGGUCCUACACGUGUAGGGAGUCUGGUUUCUAAGGCUCUCCCUGUAUGACCCAAGGUCUUGUGUCUCGUUUGUGCUGGAAGGAAACUAAGCUUCUUUGCUCCUGAGCCUGGCAAGUGUCCCCACAGGCAGCAGCUUGAGUUUCAGCUUCCUCUUGCUCAGCCCUGGGCUGUCUCGCUGAUCCCCUGCUCAGCUGUGCAGUUAACAGGGAUCACGGUUUAUUACGCAGCAUUUUUAGGUGUUCUCUGGCAACAGGACUUUCAGAUUAUUAGAAGUGAAGCAUCCAGACAGGUGUUCUGACCUACUCCAACCCAUGCAUCUGGGACAGAACAGGCCCCAGGCCCCUUCUGCUGUACCGAGCUGAAACCUGGGGCACAAGCACGCUCCAUCAGGCCUUUUGAAAUGCCAGGUCUACUCUCAGGCCCCACCAGCAUCUCCGUGGGCCCGAGGAUUCUUGGGGACUUAGACUGGGCAGUAUGAUUUGGAGCUGGCUUUCCAGGUGACAUCAGCCUCCUCUACUGUCACAUCCAGAACAUCAGUUGCCAGCUAUGGAGUCUUCUCCUUUUCUUCCUUCUCCUUCCUCUCCCUCCUUCCCACUCCUCCUCCUUCUGUUUAUGCAAAGAAUUGUGAAAAGAUGAGAACCAUUUUAUUGCUAAGAUGAAGACAGGUUGUCACCCUGAUAGCUCGUCCCAGUGAGAUUUGGUCAGUCCUUGGGGUGACCAGACUCGUCCCAGAAAUUAGUGUUUUAUUUCCCCACUAAUCAUUUAAAUAUUAUUCCAACUGGAAUUUUGCUUAAAAUUGGUCAGUCUUGUUGGUUUGCUUCUAGAAUUCCCACGCUUGCAACUUGGGGUGGUAUUUCCUGUCUUCAGACCACUGGCCUCUUUCUGGUUCCCUGGACCCCCUGGUCCUGCACUGGCCUUGCUGUGAGGUGCUCAAGUUCCUUCACUUGCUUGCUCCGGAGUCGUCCAGUUCCGAAAGUGUAAAUAGUGAAAGUGUCCAGGAAGUUCUUGCCCCUCUUUCUUAGGAGAUUGAAAUCCUCGGGAUACGAAAAAUCCAGUGAUGAAAUUUGCAGAUUAAAGCUGCAGCGGUAUCAGUGGAUCAGCUGGCGAAGGCUGAGGGUUCAGCUAGUCAGAACACCAAGCCCUCCCAGUGGAGCAAGUAGGCUCCAGCAGAAGCCUCCCGACCAGCAAAGGGGAGGCAGAGGGUCCUGGGAGUGGUUUACUCCUCCCUUUCACGGACCACAGGCUGGACACUCAAAUCCCACAGCCACCCAAAGUAUCAGACAUUGUAGUGCUGCCUGGGUAGGGACAGUGACAGCUGCUUCUAACAAGUUUUGUAACCUGUGCAAGUUAGUUAUUCAUUUGACAUAGUUAUCAAUCUUUUAAAAGUAUCUUAUCUCAUUUUUACUCUUUGCUAUACGCAAAGUGCCCUGUCUGGUCUAGUUUUGUCACAUGUAAAGCGAGGAGAAGGGUUGGGCUAAAUGGCACCUUCUCUCCCUGAGUUACUGUGAGUCCAGCUUUAAAGAUGUGAAAUAACCAGGACUGGACACAGAGGGGCACGGUCAGCAGGAGGCCCAAUUUGUCCUCAUGCAGGGGCUCUGUGGAGGUGAGUAGGGCUCCUUACCGAUCUCCCUGAGGCAGUAACAUCGGGUUCACAGAAGGCACAACUCGAUCUGGGCUUAAGCUAAAUGGCAAAGGUGGGAGUAGAGGCUUCAAGUUCAAGUUGGAGGUGCUGAGGAGAAAAGCACUGCGCACUUCAUGGGGAAUGGCCUCCGGGUCGCAUCCACGGUUCAAGCCAAACAAGAAGGCAUCAGGGAGGCAAGCCAGUGUGGCCACAGUCCCUGGACCAGGGCCCUCGUUCAGACGCAUUUCCACGUUAAGAGUCUGGGGAAGAUCUGACUGGAUCUUAGACACAUUUUAAAUCACAUGACAACGUGUUUGACCAUGGUGUGGGUCCCGUGAAAGGCUGCCCCACAGCUUGUGUUGAUUUCCAGUCUGGAGCCCACAUGUGUGCCCUUCCUUCUGGACUUCCGCCACCCUCCUGUGGGUAGCCACCCUGCUGCAUGAAUCAGCGCAAUCCAUGGCUCUGUCGUCAUGCCCUUGUUAGCUGUGUUUGGUUUCUAUCCUGCAUGGGCUCAGGGACCACAAAGCCAUUGACAUCGCCACUGUUCUGUCAGUGUUGAGACUCGUGCCCACUUUUUUUUUUUUGUAUGAAAGUUACAUUUCAAUAUUGGGUGCUAUCCAGUGUAACUUGAGUCUAUUUUCUUAGAAUAUACAAUGGUGAAAUGACCUUCCAAAGGUUUGCUCAAAAUAUGGAAUGCUUCUCGAAUUUGCGGGUCACCCUUGCACAGGGGCCAUGGCAAUCUUCGCUGUAUGGUUCCAAUUUUAGUGUCUGUGCUGCCAAGAGCAAGCGAGCACUCCUGCCCACUCUUCUGACUGUGAAGGUGCCGUGGUGAUGGGUUGCCAGGACAGGAAGCCCCUCCCAGCGCAGUGUGGCUGCUGAUUUGUGAACUGGGAACGCCACCUUUGUCCUUCCCCUCUGCAGUGCUCCCUCAGCCUUCGGAGGAGCCCAUAAAAUUGUCACAAAUGCACAGCAAGAUUCUGGCACAGCAGAGACUGUAACACAAAAAUAUUUCUUUUAAUAUUUUAGCUGGGAAUGCGGGCAGCUGUGAGAGGCAGAUGCCAAACUCCGCGCCGAGUGACUGACAAUCUGCAGCGCGUUGCCUCCGUCCCUGGGGAGAGCUGCCCGCGGGGAUGUGUUUGCAGACUGCGGAGCUCGCGAGGCUCCGGUGUCUCUGAGGCAGCGGUCCUUUCUGGGCUUGUGGUGGUGGCUUCACUGGCUGGGAGGGACACAGGGCUGCCAGGCCUCUGCGGAGCCGCGCUGUUCUGUGCGGUGGGAGCGCUGCGCCCUGGUCCUGGUCUCUGUCCCCCGAGGCACGUUCAUCCCUCUCCGCACAGCGCCUUGGCCUCCUCGGCCCUCUGUCCCCAGUGUCCCUGCGCCAUGGACUGAGCUCAGCCCCAGCGCCUCCGUGUGGGGCGUGGACCUUCCUCGUGGCCUCUGCCCUCUCCACCUGCUGCGGUUCCACGGUGUUUCCCAGACCCCACGUGCUGGGAACUGAGUCCCCAGCUGACAGUGCUGAGGGGGGCCCUCAGGAGGCGCCAGGUGGUGGGGGCUCUGGCCUCAGGAGGGGUCCGUGGUCACAGUGAGAGCUGUGUUCUACGGGGGAUCCCGGCUUUCUCUUCUCCUGUUGCCUCGCGAGGCCCCGGGCCCUGUUACCGCUCAGCUCCAGAGUCUCCGUCUGGGCCUUCCCAGAACGUGGCCGCCAACUUCUAUUUGAGUUUCCCGGGCUGUGCUGUCUGUCACAGCAGCAGAAGACAGACUGAGGCGCCCCCCCAGCCACACAGCGUUGUCACUCCAGAUGCCAGGAGUGUCUGCGUGUCCUCUUCCCUCGGGGUCUCUGGGGAGCCUUCCUGUCCCCCCUUCCCUCUGGGUUUGAGUCCCUUUCCCUGGACUCCCCCUGAAGCCCCCGCUUCCUCUCCCACACCUGUCACUCUGUGUCAUAGACACUUGCUCGUCCGCCUUUCUCCUCGGCUGUGUUUGGGCUCCUCGAGGGCAGGAACCCGACCCCCGUGUGCCCUUGACACCUAGCAUGACGCACAGCAGAGGCCCAACAAAUGGCUCUUGCAUGAAGAAAUGGACAGACAAUGGAUACCAGCCAAGGGCUGGCCAGACCAGGGUUGCAGACCGGGAGCGUCACCUGACGGGGAGGGUGUGACCGCAGGAGCGGUUCUGUCUGCUCCUGAACGGAAUCCAGGUGCCUACUCAGGGUAGUUUCUGGAACUUUCUGGAGUGUGCGCCCUCACUCCGGAGGCUGAAGGGAGGCUCUGAUCUGGAGGCCUUAUGUGUGUGCUCUUAGAUUUCCAGUGACCUGCCUGCAUGGCCUGUGUCCCCACAAAGGGUGAGUUAAUGAUGCAGCCUUGGUCCCCAGGGAAGUCACUUGGAGACAGAGUCAUGUUGGGAGUCGUUUGGUGGUGGGUGGAGAGUUGUUCUGCUGGAGGUGAGCGGGAAAGCCAGUGGAUAGGGUGGAGAGCCCUGUCCUUCCAGGACUGGACAGCCCCUCCAAUGACAUGCUCCAGCCUUCACACCUGUGUCGGCCUCAUUGGGUGUAGGCUGCCCUGGGAAGGGACAGUAUUAUGGGUCAAAUUAUAUCCCCCCAAGAAGACAUAUUCACGUCCUAACCCAGAACUUGUGAAUGUGGAGGGGGCUCUGCAGAGGUCAGCACUGGGGCUAUCUCUGUGCAGCUGGUGACUGUUUUCAAGAGCAGUGGACUUGCCGUGAGUUUGGGAUGGCAGAUGGGGUCGUCCCAUGUGCACUCUCUGAACCAGGCACCUCAAGCUCAUCAGUGCACAUUUGUUUUAUUCUUGGUUUCUUUAAAUGCGGUAGAUUAGACCCAGGAAUCAGAUUGGUAUGCCGGAAGGGACGAGGUCUUCACUGAAUUGAGAGCCUGGCCAUUGAUGACUACGGGGUCAUCAUAGGACCCCAUGGGGGCAUCCGCUGGAACUCCAAUUUCUAAGUCAAGCAGUGGGUGACAGGUGCAGUGAGUGAGUUGCCCCCUGCCCCAGCUGCCCUCCCCAGGCUGUGGAUACGCCUGAUCCCUCCUUGAGUUGGGACACCGGAGUCUCCUCCUGGGAACCCCUAACGGGCUGCCUGCUCCUGCCCUCCCCAGGGCUGCCUGGCCUCAGGCACUGGUCGCUGUACUCAGGAGGGCAAGAGGCUGCUAGUGCGGCUGCGCUCACCUCUGGCAGGGCUGGUCUCCAGGGCCCGUGACUGACUGCUCACCAGUCUCCUCCCUGUGCCUCUGGGCCGUGGCAGGACUCUUCUUGCACACAGUGGGGAGGCAGAGGCCUCUGUCCUCACCAGUGGCAGCACUAGUCCCCUCCACACAGCUCAGCACAGGGCCAACAGCCUGGGGGACAGCAGGCCACUCGGGUCCCCAUGAGGGUGCAGGACAGGUGUGCGGUGGCCCCCCCUUUGCCCAGGUUCCUUCAGCGUCUGUCUCACAGACAGGUCCCAGGACUCUGCCCCGCAGCCUUGCUUCUAGGGAGGAGCAGAGCCGAGAGCUUUAGAGAGAACCUUCUCUGGCCUUCCUUCAUUCUUCAACUUCCGUGGAGCCUCUGUGAGUGGCUUGAGGCCACCGAAUUCCACGUCGCGCCCGAUGGCAAGUGGGAGGAGGCCUCUGUCCCUCCUGAGGUUGCUUCAGUGCCAUGCUACACACGGUUGGCAUCAAGACCUCCUCUCCCUGCCCCCCUCCUCUCCCUGCCCCCUCUGGGGGGAGUGGCUGGCCUCCAGGUGUGAGGCUGGCCUCCCCUGGGUGGGCCAGGCUGCUAGGGGCCAAGGUCCAUCUCAUCCUGCACCUGGGUUUGUGGCAGAAUUCGUGUCUGCAGUCGGUGGAGCUCAGCCACCCUCCCUGGUAGAUUCCUGGGGCCCUGCAGGUGCCCUGGGGUCUGACUGGAUGUCCACUGGUCUUGGCUUUGGGGUCACUUCACCUUCACUGAAGUGGCUUAUUCUAACUCCCCAAGCCAGGCUUUCAAUUGACCCCGACUAUCACUAAACCCAGGGGUCCCCUCUGUGUCCUGUGAGGCCAAGCAGGGGUCACAGAGCCCCCACUUUUCUGACUAUUUUGGCCCAGGAGGGGGUGGGGUGGGGUCCCAGGAUUGUGGGAUAGGGUUCCCUGGGUUGGGGUGGACAGCAGAGCAGGAGACCUUCUCUGGGAGUCCCCAGUAGGAUCAGGGUGGGGGACUGCUCUCCAGAGCAGGUGGCCUUCUCUGGGAGUCCCCAGUAGGAUCAGGGUGGGGUCUGCUCUCGACUUUCCCCAGCUCCUCCCUUUAGCCUCCUGGUGUGGAGGCCCUGGCCCUGCCUGUGCCGCCUGCCUCUGUCCCCUCCUUCCUUGCCGCCCACCUAACUGAAGACUCGAGCUGUCAGUGAUUCCCCCGGUUCUGAGAUUCUCUCUCCUCCACAUCUUCUGCUUCCGGAAGUGGGUGUCCCUAGGCCCAGCCGAGGCUCCCGGGCAGCGUGGAUGACUUCGGGAGCUGCUCCUGGGGCCUCCACACCCCCUGGGCCCUGCUGUCUGCUCCACUGUCAGUGGUCAGCGAGGAAGCCCAGAAUGGUGUAAGGUAUAGGGUCACUGGGUGGCACUGACCGAAGGCUGACUCCAACCCUCUAGAAAACCCACUCUCCCAGCGCAGCCCUGGGAGGAGCCUCCUGCCAAGCCCUGAACAGUGUGAGUUUCCCGGGGCUGACCGGAGGUGAAGCUCGCCACCCUCAUUGUGAACCAGUCUGAGGGUGGGUCCAGCAGUGUUCUCCUGACAGGCAGGCAGGUCGCUGUGCCUGCUGGUCGGGGACAGAGAGGCGUUCGGGAGAGCCCCGUGGGUGCGUGAGAGAGGUCACUGCAGAGGAGGGGAUGGGUGGGCAGAGCCAGGCUUCUCAUGUUUCCAGAAUGGUGUGGCCAGGGAGUCAGACCUUGGCUGCAAGGGAGCUCUGGCCAGAGCCGUAGAUGAAGAGUAGAGGAGUAGUGUGGGCGGAGGUCACGGACACUCUGAGGAAGGGGUCAUCUGGGCCCUCUGGAGUCCCCUGGCUUCUGGCUUUUGUAGCAUGGAUGUUUGUCCCUGGGAAGGCGCGGCACAUUUUUUGAGCGGUGCUGGAUGUUGCUGGAGCCAAGCAGGGUCCUCCUGUGUUUCAGAAGAGAACCUUCUGGAAUCUUCCUUGAAGUCCUUCUAUGAAAAGGCACGGCCCCGAGCGGGUGGAGGGAAGGACUUGGGACAGAUUGCAGAGCUGGCUUCAUGGGGCACUUGGCCAGCGGGUCCAAUGCUUGUCACCAUUCCUGUCCAAGCACUGGCCAGGGGAGAGCAGCAGAGUUCGGUGAGGCAGGGAUUGUGGGCCUCUGCGUGCCCUCGAACAGCAGAAAGGAUGGACCAGGCUUGAGGUUGACCUCUACUGGCUCGUGCGAACUGGUAACCCACUGGCUGGAUACAGAGUGGGAGGGAGCCCGAUAAACCUGUCUCCCGAGCUCUGAGACCUGCGACACCUGUCACUCCAACGGCCACCUGCCACCAACAUUGUCCCAGCCCACUUGGCAGGGAGCUGGUGACUGCUUAUGACCCUGCAGCUGGACCUCAGACAUGGGGUGCAGGGUUUGAGGCCAGGCCCCCCGACAGGAAGGUGACCUGUGAGACAGGAGAGAGGCAUGCUGUGAGCCGGGAAAUCCCAAAAGCACCGAGUGCCUCUCAUUAGUUACCCUGUUUCCCCACACGCUCUGUUUAUUUGACAAAUAUUUAUUGAGCACCUGCUGUUUGCUGAGCUGGAAGGAUAGAUAAAAGUUCCUCAAGGAUUUCUCACGCGCUUCUCAGUCACAUGAGAAAUGGCUUCUCUGGGGUCCCCGGCUGGAGCCCUGGGUGGCGAGCUUGGCCAUUCUCCUCGGGGAGGGGGAGGCGAGGACCCGGGCGGGGGCUCCGGCUCCCACCCUUCCCACAUGCUUUCUCUUCCUGUGGGAUCUGGCCUCGUGGGCUGCGGUCCCUGGGUGCUGGCUUCUGUCCUGGCCACGUACAUUAAAUGUAACAUGAUGACAUAAUUAUGGAAAUGGAGAACACCCGAGUUUACUUAACCUACUGCUCUCCUCAGACAAGCCCAGAACACACUGUAAUAAUUUGUCACCCAUUUUUCUGAGGUAGGACGGGCUGACUCUUAAUUACAAGCCACGGCGAGAGAUGAGCAAAUAAAUAUGCAUGUUAGUCUGAAUGCUAUAAUUAGAACUACCAUUUGGCUAAAGAAAAGUAGAGACGUGUUAAUUCCAGGCCUCUGCUUGCAUGUUAAGUCGCUGCUAGGGAACAAUCUGUGUUAACACGUUAAGCCCUGAUGAGGCAGGAAUGUCUGGAGAUUUUUUUUGUAAGCAGAGCUGAGACACACUUUCUAUUCCACUAGAUAUUCCAAUUCAGUGUUUAUUUCCUGGAGUCCGAGUUAACAUGAUAAUUAGUGUUUUUGACGUAUCUGACAGCUACUCAGAAGGGUGAUUUUGCAUGAAGUUUCCAACGGUACCUGUGUACCAGGUUGGCACCAUGUGCUGGAACCGGUGGGGUGGCCGGUGGUGGGUGGACAUGGAAUCUACUCAUGCCUUUGACAAAUAAUGGGACACACAUGUCUGUUAUUUCUGAUGAAGUCAAGAAGUGCAUUUUCCGCAACGUCUUCACCAAUACCCUCCAACCCUAUUUUUGACCUGUUCAGUUAACAUUUCUGAGUGCAAUUUCUUCAUACACCAUCUCUUCAGUCGAGUGCUGGGUAAAACUGACCAGAACAAUCCAGAAACAGAGACCUACUCUCUCUCGCAGUGUCCCAGGCCAGCCGGCUGGUGGGUUCGCAAACUCUGGCUGACUGAGGGAAAUUGCCAGUGAAAGUGAGGAGAACCCAGAGACCGCCAUGCCUGAGAUUGGAUCCUCAAUAAACCCCUUUUGCUGUUGCAUGAGCCGGUCUCUUGGUGGUCUCUUCCUCCGACAUUCGCUGGACCCUUACACCAUCUGAAUGCGUCAUUCCCCUACCCUAAGGGCAUCCCCUUACUCGCAUGCUCUACCCAAAUGAUCCUUCUAAAACACAGGUUGAAUCACACACUCCCCUGCUCAAACCCUGCAGUGGUUCCAUCUCCUCAGUGACAUGAGACCCUGCGAGGCUCCCCCUGACCCAGGCCUGGCUUCCUCUCUGGUGCUAUGUCCUUCCCACCUCCCCCUUGUCCUCAUCUCAGGAAAACUGCUCUUCUUGCUGAUUGUUGAGUACCCCAGGCAACUCCUGUCCCAGGGCCUUUGUACAUGCUGUUCCCUCUGUUUGGGCACUCUUUCUCACACAUCCCCAAGGGUCCCUCACUUCAGGUCUCUGUCACAGUGUCACUUCAUCUGAGUCUUCCCCAUGGCACAGCUGAGACAGCACCUUCCUUCCCUUCUCCCCCUCACUUGCAUUUCUUGGCAGUUUUUACCUUCACCUGCUGACAUGCUGUGGGUACCGUGUGCUUAGGUGUUCACCUGUUUGUCAUUGAUCCUACGUGUCUCUAUCCGUGAGACGGUAAGCCCAGGAAAACAAACCGUUUGUGCAUGUACCACUUGGAGCUGUGCCCACCACACCAUGGACACUUGAUGAACAAAAAUUUGCUGAAGGCUGGUCCCAGGCUCAAGUUAGCCUCCCAGGUUCAGAGUUGAUGAGACACUGUCCCCUGUCCUGUUAUGCUCAAAUUCGGGACCCCCAAAAGACCACCAGAGACCCAAGAUCGAUGUAAGCAGCAAAGAGGUGUUCAUUGCGAGCUAGCUCGGUCCUCUGUGCGCACACAUAGCAACUGGUGACCCUGAGAGGCCCCGAGCCCAGGGUUUGCAGCAUUUUUAUACAUUUUUUGGAGAAGGCAGGGACUUCACAUACAUCAUAGCAUCUCUCAGCAAAUCAUCACACACCGCGAGAAAAUCAAAUAACAACUCUAAAACAUGAUUAGCACAUUCACUGGCGGGAACAAGUUGGGUAGGGGUGAUUGGUCAGUACAAAAGGGGUAUUCGUUUGAACUGAUUGGUUUAAGCCAAGAGGGGUGUUCCUGCUGAACUACAUGGUUUUCCAACACGUUAUCAACCACCAUAAACUACUGGGAGGGUCAUCUGGCAUCCCAGGUAUUUCCCUGUCUCAUGCUGAUUGGUGGCUGCUAGGGGGCUGCUAUAGAUCUCCACCUAGCCUGAGUCAGGGACACCUGGCACAGCAGAUCUCUCCUGUUAUUUGUAGAUAAACAACUUAGCAGGGUGGGAAUGUGCCUAGGAGUGCUCUGUGGGUUUUUCCAAGGACAAAGGCCAUGUCCCUUCCUUGGACAGGCUUUGCUCUGAGAUAGAGGCUGGUUUUUCAGUCCCUGAGGGCUCCAUCCAGCAUGGGAGAGACAUGUGUGGGGAAAACACAAACACUUUUGUGUCUCAGGGGACAGUGUUCCUGUUCAGGUCCAGCUCUGUCCAGGUCCGGCUCUGUAGCAGCGCAUGUCCGUGUUCGUUCUUUUGAGUGGACAGACAUUUCCAUGGUGUGGCGGGACUCUAGUUUGCUUAGCUAUUCGCGAGUAGUGAAAAUUCGGGGGUUCUGCUUUUGGGGUGUGGAGAACAGAGCUGAUGUGAACACCCAGGGAGGCUCUCAGCGGCAUUAGUCAGUGUGAAAACCCGACAGCGCUGAAUGUUGCCCGAGGCAGAUAGAAGAGAGAGUGAGGGAAGGCUGUUUGUGUGCAGGUAGAGAAAAUGGCUGCUUGUCACAGCCACUGCCAAUCAAGGAAAUUUUUGAGUCGGGUGGGAGAGUAAUUAAUCCAAAACCCAUCUGUACUUUUCUUGUCGACAAAACACAAUGUCUUGGGACUCCUAGGAAUGGCAUGAGUGAUGUACACUGUCAUUUCAUUCUGAGUGCUAAUAUUUACUUCUGCAGGACUUGGAUCUGUCCUUUAAAAGGCGGACAGUGUCGCAGGAAGUCCAGGGAGGAGAGUGGGAAUAUUAAAGUGGUAGCAGCUGUUGAAGGGCCAGCUUCUCAGUUCCACUCACCUGUGGUUAAAUGUACCACUGCCUGCUGUCUGACCCUGGCCAAUUACUUGCCGAUCUUUCUGAUCCUGUUUCCUCAUCAGUUAAAAUAAAAGUAAAUUUAAAAUGUAUGCUGCUGAUUGUUGCUGUGGGGAUUCGAAGAGAUGAGGGAGGGAUGUGAAUUAUUGAGUACCAUGGCAGGGACUUAGUAGGUGCCUCCCUAAACCUUGAUUCCCCAGCUUGCUGAGCAGGAUCACAGCAAGUGCAGUUCUCUAGCAACGACUUUAAAAAGCAGGUGGAGGGCUGGAGCUGGGGCUCAGUGGUAGAGCAUUGCCUAGCACAGGUGAGGCUCGGGGUUCGAUCCUCAGCACCACAUUAAAAAAAAUAAAGGUAUUGUGUCCAUCUACAACUAAUGUGUGUGUGUGUGUGUGUGUGUGUGUGUGUAUAUAUAUAUAUAUAGAGAGAGAGAGAGAGUAGUUGACGACUAACGGACAAAAGUCCUGUAUGUAAGGCUUUAUGAUGUAAGGUGAUGACAUCAAUGAGGAUGAUUUCUUGAAUUUGUCCAACUCCUUUGAAUGGUUGGUUGGGAGUAGGCAGCCGGGUCUGGGGAACCUGGGGGUGCAGGGCAGGAAGCAAGCCAAGCUGCAGUGCACAGGGAGGGAUGCUACCCCAAGGCCUUUGUUCCCCUCCCUCCCACCCCUGAGCCCCAAAGGACCCUGCUGUGCUCUGUCUUGGGCCUUUGGUUCUGUCCCCAGAGCUGCUGUUCCCUGGGGUCUGACCCCCGAGUCCACUCUGCUGGAAAACCGCUAGCCUGGGGCUCCUGCGUGGGUCGAGGCUUGUUUUAAGACCAACCCCAAGUCCUCCUGUGAGUUCUCCGUCACAGACUGGGGCGUCUCAGAGCUGCCGAUGCCCUGUGCUCCCGGGGCUCCUGGGGUGCUGUGCUCGGCUGAGCUCCCACUCCCCAGCUACCUCUGUCAGCAGCCGCGCAGUUUUGGCCCCGAAUGCUUUUAAUUUAGCACAAGAGGUGUCUGUGUCACUGGGUGUGAUGGCUGUGUCACUGGGUGUGGUGGCUGGUGUGUGCCACCUCUGUGGAAAUUAAGGUGGACAGGGCUUCCGGUAAAGCCUCAGGCAAAGAGGUUUCCCUCCGCUCCCUUCUUCCGAGCCCAACACACACCAGAGGCUGGAGUUGCAGCAGCCAGGGGCCCUGGGACAACGGAGGGCAGGUGGCUGAGGUGCGGAGGACUGGGCUGUGUUUCCGGGGCCAAGGAGGCACAGUGUCCCCACUCGGGGUGGGGUGCUUGUUAAAGGUGCUCUCUGUGCGUCUUUCCCACCAAGAUUAAGACUCGAUGUCCUGCAGGUGGCCUUCCUGGGCCUCACUGAGCCAGUGACUCGAAGGUCCGUCCUUGCAGCAGUGGGUUUAGGGAUGGACCCCAUCCAGUUCUUCUCCCAAAAAGUGCGAGUGACAGAUGCCACUCAUCAAGAGAAGUAGGGAGCCAUGCCCACGUCGUGGGCAAGCAGGACAGGGAAUGGCAAGCCUGGGCUCCAGGAGUGCGGAGGAGUGGACCCUGAGCCGCCUCCCUUGGGCUCACUGUUGCCCUGGGUGAUACAUCCUGCUGCUGCAGCCCACUGAAUCACAGUUUUCAAUUACUUUUAGUCAAAACUUCCUGAUGUAUGUUUUAGAAGAGCAUGUCUUAGGGCUUGUCAUAGGAAUGUAAAAUGAAUGUAUGUCAAAGAUCUCACCGAAUAAGGAGGGAGUCAGUAAAAUGUUACAGUGGUUCCAAGGAAAAUUCAAAGAGCCAGUCACAUGGGCAAAGGGGUGCUGGAAAAGAAUUCACAGGCGGGCGGCUAGCUCAGGGGUUCAGCGCCUGCCUAGCAUGUGUGAGGUCCCGGGCUGCAGCCCAGGGCAGGGAAAACACAUGGCAAGCAGAUCCCAGCUGCCUUUUCCUGGGGGAGGGAGGAAGGAAACCAACUGUCCUUCAACCUCACAGAAUUAAUUUGCAUGUCUGUGGACAAGACUCACUUCCUUUGGUAGUGUUAUCUACAAUUUCCAGAACUGUGAAGUAGCUUCAAAAAAACGAAAGAUGUAAAACCCAUGGAAUAAAAUAUGUAUCUAUCUCCAGGAUUAGACAAUGCCUGGUUCUCCAAUCCCUGGAGACACCCAGUCGUCAUUUGGGCCAUUUUCAAGUUUGCCAUGCAUCAGUCGCACCCAUCACGUCUAGAAGGACCAUUGCCCUUGCUCCCUCACCUCCUCGGCCUAGUCUGAAUGUCCUCUCCAGCCGGGUCGAGGGGCGCUUCCUGUUCAGCGAGGGGAGAGAAGCCCCAGUUGCUUCCGAGUUCUGGCUUGGGUUUUGGUGAUGGAUGGAUCAUCUCCCUGUCUCGUAUUUUCAAGUGGUUACCAGGCUGUGAUUUCCAGCCUCUUGCUUGACAGGAUGCUGCGUCUGGAUUUAUUUUUGCAAGAAUUUCCAACCUUCUGUCCACACUGUAAUAAAAGUUAUAAAAGACAUAUGUCUUUAAAAUGGCUUCCCCUUGGUUUUGGCAAACUUAGCCUCUUUCUGGACCUCUCUAGAGGUCAUUAGUAACCCCUUCCCAGAGCCCCCAGGUGCGGGGGGGGGGGUGUCACAGCGUAGAGGACUAAGUGACCUUGUAAGUUCCCAGAUCUUGCAGGUUCCUGGGGGCCUCAGCGCUCUCCUGCCUCCUGCAGGUCACAGAGAUUCUCAGUCCUGCGCCAGGUAAGCCUGUCACACACCUGCAUACGGGGACACAGGGACCUGAUCCUGCUUUCAGUUUUUGGACUGGCUAUUUUCCAGGACAGAAAAAAGGUGGCCCCUUUUUGUAAGAAAGGACGGAGAGUUUGGUGUCCAGAUCCACCAAGGGCUGGGACCUGUGUUCUGGAGAAGGCGGCGGAGUCACGGCACUGGGAACAGGGGUCCUGGUGGAGGUGAGAGGACGUUGGGGGGAGGUCAGGGUGGCCCCCGAGCUGUCUGUCCUGCUUCGUCAGCCCCCUGCUGUGCUGCUGGGGACCGAGCCUGCACACAUGCACGUGUUUGCUGUUUUUAAUAUGGAUUGCCUAAUGAGAUGACAAAUCGCACCGGGCGCAGCCGUCUCUUCAAUGAGGAAGCAAAGCAAUUACGUGUUAAAUGACAUUGCUUCGGUGUCCCAAGCUGUGCGGGAUUCGUGUAAAUUGAAUGACAGUAAAGACCCCCACGCUGGCUUUGUAUACGGCCUGUCACAUCCUGUGGGGAGGGAACGCCACGGUCACCAGGACCUUCUCGGCUUCAAAUGUCAAAAAUGACAAAUGGACCCUGCUUCCCUCCUUCAUAAUGAUCAUCUGUCAGCAGCUGGUGGCAGAGGAGCAGGCUGGGGCUGCUCAUUUGCCUCAUCUGCUGGAGAAGACACCAUCAGGGUAAACCGAGCUCCCGAGGAGGCUGGGGACAGCUGGAGGCCAGGUUUGGUGAACAGCAAAUCCCAGGGGAUGGGCUUCUCCAGGUCUCCUGGUAACCCGGGCGCCCUCCUAGCCCACAGCUCUCCCCACGGCCCCUCUCCUCAGGGCGGAUGCAAAGACCAGGGGACGAUCCUGGCCGGCUGGGCUGUGAGUGUCAGGCUGGGGGACAGGGCAUGAUGUAAAAUAUAUAAAACGUGAUAUUUGUCCUUUUAGCCACUCACAAGUGUAUGAUUGGCUGGCACUGAGGACAUUCACAAUGUGUGGAGCCCCUACACCAUUUAUACCCCGGCAUGACCUACCCCCACGUCCCUGGCAUCUAUCUAUAUUCUACUCUCCGUCUGUGAAUCUGCCUAUGCUGAGCUGAGUCACACCUCACUUAGGGUGGAACCCCAUGCCCACCAUGUGGGGGUGAGUGCAUGGAGUGGCCCCUCCUGUGAGUGGAGUGGUGGGCAUCUGUUCUACUGUUAUGGCUUAUUUCACUGGGUGUGAUGUUUCUAAGCUCUGUGGAGUUGUCACAUAUGUCAAAAUUCCAUUCCUUUUCAUGGCUCUGUGAUAUUCCUUUGUGUGCAUUCACUGCCAGGUUGCCUUUGGAGGAACCUUGGUACCUGCUGCUUGGCUGUAGCCUCAGACCAGGAUUGAGGCCAUUGUGGAUGGUGCAGAGGCCAGGGCUUCCUGCUGCCCUUUACCCCAAGGACGUGGCUGCCUCCCUACUGUCUGUCUUCUCUGACCCUGUGUUCACAAACUGCAGGGCGCUGAGAGGGAUCACAGGCCUGGAUGACAGGGAAGAGACCAGGAGCCGGUUAUUCCCUGACUUUUGAAAAAUGCUGAUAAGAUGCUCACAGACCCUGGGUACAAAUCUGUUUGCACUUAGACAGCUGGCCCCAGAGUGACCGUUGUGUCUGUUGCCAUGGGGACAGUGGAUGGCACUGCUCUGCUGAUCAGAACCCGCGAGGCCUCGCAGGGCGGCCAGGGGGAGACCCGGCAUUGCUGGUGCAGGGGCCGCUCCAGGCCCUGGCAGGGCACGGGGGGGGGGCGUGGGGUUCCACCCUGGCGAGGUGGGGCUCGGCUCAGCACCAGCUGCUAGGAUCUGGUCGCCAGGCCCUGACCAACGACCUCGGCCGGGCCCCUCGACUUCACAGAGGAGGAAACCGAGGCCCCGCAGACCAGCGGCUGAGCCGGGCCCCUCUGCAGGCGGUUCCUGCUCGCGCUCCUCCGGGUCCCGGGGUCACCCCACCCCACGGGACAGCAACUUCUCAGCUGCCAGUGGCAGGUGCGUCUGGGGGAGGCCCCAAGGCGGGGACACAGCGGCUCCAGACGCGCUCUUGAUGCUCAGUGUCACCAGCACUUGGCGGGAAGGACCUGGGUCCUGCUGAAAGGUCCCCGCUGUGGGAGGGUGGCGGCUGGGUGGCAUUGCCAAUCCAGCGCUGGUGCUCGAUUCUUUGAAAGGAGAAAAAGGGCCAAGUCCAGCACCCCCGCCUUUUUCAGUGCUGUCUGGUGGACAGCCUCCCCGGGUGAGGCCCGCAGGGCUGCCUCUUCCCCGGAAGGUCUGCGGCUCCCUGGCCGCGUUUCAGCCUGGCAGAGAAGGGGGCGAGGCCUCUGGAGCCCUUGUGAAGUGGCUUGUUUACUUGGCCACCCUUCCGCAUGUCCAGCCUCUGCUGUCCUGUGGAGUCACAGGCUGUCAACUAGGAAAGCCCUUGCAGGAGGGUUGCCCGCCUUCCCCUCCCUGGAGCUGUGGAUGCUGAGGUUCAGAGAAGCCCACUGACUCGGGAACUCUGGGCAGAGCGGCCUGAAGGGCUCCUGCUGCCACUGGUGAACUUCGGUCCCUUCCGUACCUGCUUCUCACCCCCCUCCCCUUGCCCCUCUUGCUCUCCUUUCCUCCUCCCUCUUCACUCCAGCCAUGUCCUCCUGUGGGUUGAACCCCGACUCCCUCCAGCCCGAGGCUCACCAGUCCCCCUGAGCGCCCACUGCAGGACAUCCUCACCGUGUGUGGCCUUUUCCCAGUCUCCUCCCUCUGCCUCCUUUCCCACGCUCUCACCCCUGUUUCCUAGGAUCCUCUCUCAAAUAAACCACUGUCACCCCAGUGCCCGUCUCAGGGUCCACGUGGUGUCAGAAUCCCAAAGUGGCCCCCAGACUCCCCUGAAAUCACAGCCUGGCAACUCCCUGACCUCAGCCUCUGAGACUGCGCAGAAGCCACCCUGUCCUGCCUGGACUUGUGACCAACAAACACUGUGGGCGAGAGCGGUUUCAAGACACCACCUUUGUGACACUUCGCUAUACAGAAACAUAAAGCAGGUAACAUGGUGUUUUUGUGAAACCCAAACUGAGAUGCCUUCACGCUGUUGGCCUCACCAGUCCUGGCUCAGGCACCGAGCCUUGCAGAGGACGCAGGAGAAAGGGAAACGCGGCGGGAGAAGACAUCAGUCCGUCUUUUUCAGCAUAUAACAUAUCCAGUAGGCAAAGAGCUAAAUAAGGAUGAAAGACUAAAUUACGUAGUUAACAGAGUUUUAGACUUCAAUUGCGAAUCAAGAGGAACUAAGCAUUUCUCUCCCACUGAUUACAACCAGGACCUCUGGACAAAAUGUACUGACAAGGUAAAACUUCAGGCAGAUCGGGAAAGGGAAGCACAACUUGAAGAACGAUGUAUCCAGGUAUCUCCAUUUCUAGGAUGCAGCUAAAGAACAUUUUACAGCGUUAUAUUCCCAUAUUAGAGAAGAAAAUAAACAACCUAAGCUUAUGCCUUAAAGAAUUAGAGGAUGAAGAGCAGAUUAAUCCAAGCAGAAAGAUAGAGCAAAUAAAAUAUCAGCAUAAAUCAAUGAAAAUGAAAAUUGAAAAUAGUAAAGAAAGUCAGUGAAGGCUGAAGACAAUGUUUGGGAAAGAUCAAUAAAGACUGAUAAACUUUCAGCCAAGCUGUCUCCAAGGAAAAAGGAGACAGGAGAACUUUAGUCCAGUGUGGUGAUUGCAGUUAAUAGCAACGUGGUUCCAUACUUGAAAAUUGCUAAAACAUGUUUCAUAUGUUCUUACCACAUACACAGAAGACCUGUAGGUAAUGUAUAUGUUAAUUAGUUUGGUUUGGUCAUUCCAUAAAGUCUGCAUAUACCCAAACAUCAUGUAUAUGCCAUAAACACAAUUAUUGUCAAUUAAAAUAUUUUUAAAUAAACCAAUUUCUAAAAUAAAAAUGAAAGUAAAGACCCUAUAGACAUUCAACUGAUAAGAGAAUAGUAUGAAAAACUCAUGCUUACGAAUUUUACAACUUAUAUAAAAUUGGUCAGCUCUUUGAGAGACAAAAUAAUUUAAUCAAGAAGAAAUACGUAACCUAUAUCUAGUUGGGUGCACCAGUGCAUACCUCUCAUCCCAGCUACUUGGGAGGCUGAGGCAGGAGGAUCUCAAGGUCAACCUCAGACCUGGACAACUUAACAAGAUUGUGCCUCAAAAAUACAAACUUUAAAAAGGGUUGGGGCUAUAGCUCAGUGGUAAAGCACUCCUGGAUUCAAUCUCUAGUGCCGGAAUAGACAAACAAAAUUCCUAUAUUUACUAAAGAAGUGAAUUAAUGACUAAAGCUUUCUGGAACAAGAAACGCCCAGAAUCAGAUAGUUUCAUUGGCAAAUUCUACCAAACAUUUGAAGUAGAAUAAUAUCAAUUCUAUACAAUCUCUUGUAUAAAGUUGAACAGGAAGAGACAUUUUUCAGCUCUAUUUGUGAGGCUGGCAUUACUCUGAUAUCCAAACCAGACAAAGACAUUAGAAGAAAAGAAAACUACAGACCAACAUCCCCCAUUAACCUAGGCAAAGUGCUUGACGAAAUAUUAGCAAAUCGAAUGCAGCAAUUCAUAAAAAGAGUAUCUCAUCAAGGUGGUAUGGUUCUUGUCCUAGCAAUUCAAGGGUGGUUCUACACGUGAGUCACUUACUGUCAUUUACCAUACUAAUAGACUACAGAUGAUAAAUUAUAUGAUGAUCUCAAAAGAUGCAGGAAAAGCACCUGAUAAAAUCAAGCCCCAUUUGUCAUAAAUACUCUCAGCCAGGUAAAGAAGAAAGCUUUCCUAACAUCAUGCUGCUCAAUGGUGAAUUAGCUGAACGCUCUCUCUCCUGUGGUCGGGAGCAGGGCAAGGAUGUACACUCUUACCACUCCCACUCCACAUUUUCUGGAAAUUCCUGCCCAUAUAAUAAGGCAAGGGAAAGAAACAGAAACCAUCCAGACUGAAAAGCAAUAAAACCUUUUUUUUUUAUUCAUAGAUGACAUGACUGUCUAUAUAGACAAUACCAUGGAAUCUAUGCAAAAUUUCCUAGAACUAAUAAGUUUGUCAACAUCACAGGAUAAAAGAUCAUUUUGUAAAAAUCACUCUUCACACAUAUUGGCAAUAAACAAUAAAAGUUAGAAACUUUUGGAAAAUGACAUUUAUAGGAGUUCAAAAAAUGAGACACUAAGGUAGAAAUCUAAGGACAUAGGUUUAGAAUUUGUUGAAAACUAUUAGAGCUGAUGAAAGAAAUCAAAGAUGAUUCAACCAAGUGGACAGAUGUUAUGUGUUCAUGGAUUAGAAGAUUCACUAUUGACAAUAUAUUGACAAUCUUCUCCCCACAUUGAUUUAUACAUUCAGGAAAUCACAAUCAAAAUUUCAGUAGGACUUCAAAAAUAUCAACAUUAUAUAUUUGAAAAAGAAAAGAGUUGGGGAAUUCACAUGAUCUUUUUUCAAGAUUUACCUCAAAGCUCUUAUAAAAAAGACUGUAUGGUAUUGGUGAGACAAUCCCUCAGAGGAAAGGAACCAUCCAGAGUAGAGCCUCACAAAUGUGGAACAUUCAUUUUUGCCCAAACACCAAGUACAAAUCCUUUCUCGUUUUCUUGUGUAUAUAUUCUAUAGCUAUUUUUUGGUGGUUACAUGGGAUCACAUUUAACAUCGUGAACACUAACAUUCUAUGUUGGAUUUAUAUCCCUUUAGCCCUAACACAUCCAAACUUUGCUCCUUACCUCUGUGUGCCCACUUCAUUCAGUCACUCACCUCACAACACUUCAUCCUUGUGUCCUGUGUGGGAAGUGGUCAGUGUCAUUCCUUGGAACAUGCCCUCCUCCCUGUUCUCCCGUCGUCACCUGGGAUGUCCACAACACAUGUGUUGGCUUGCCGGUCCUGCAGGUCUCCUACGCUGUGGCUACUUCUCUGUAGCCGUCUUCCUUCCCUGAGAUUCAAUAGUGCCCAUUGUUCUGUCUUCAGGAAUUCUCUCUCCUACCUGCUCAAAUCUGCCUUCGAAUCCCUCCAGUGAAAUUUUCAUUUCAAUCAUUGUACUUUCCAACUCCAGACUUUCAUUUUGUUUUCUCUUCAGGUUUUUCAUCUAUUUUCCAUUUGGUUCACCCAUCAUUUCCUUGACUUUCUCCACGUCGUCUUUUAGUUCCUUGAGUAUCUUUGUGACAGUUGUUUUGACAUCAGUAUCUACUUGACCUGCCAUCAGGACUUUUUCAGAGAGUUUCUGUUUGUUAUUACCUUUUUCUUUGAAUGAGCCAUGAUUUUAUUUCUUUGUAUGCCUUGUAAAUUUUUGCUGAAAAUUGGACAUUUGAAUCUAACAAUGUGGUAACUCUGGAAAUUAGUUUCCCUUUUCCCUGGGCCUACUGUUGUUGGACUGCUGGCUGCCCCUGUGCCCAGGAUCAGCCUGUGAUGUAAAGCAGGUCUUCUUGGGUCUCGGAGCCUGUGCUUUACCUGGGAGUGUGUGUGAUCUCUUUCUAAUCUUCCCUGCGUGAGGUUGUUUAUAAUGACCUAGUGUUUAGCAUCUGGCUCCAAAAAGGGAUAAAGGGGGGAAAUAAAGAGGUGGGUGGGGAAGAAGCUCCAGCCCUUUGAGUCCUUUGGAAGUCUCCUUGGCUGGAGGAGGAGGGGCUUGCACCAAUGGCAGGAGGCACAACAAUACAGACACGGCCUCCCCCCCCCCCGCCCCCUCAGAACCUCUGUGAUCACAGUGUUCAGAAGACAGGGUCCUUUGAGCUCAACUGCUCCUGGGGUUCGUGUUCAGCUACCUGCCAUGGGGUUGGGAGCUGGGACAGGGACGGAUAGCUGCUAUUGUGCUAAGAGCUAAAUUUGAUCAACAUGAACUGCACUUAGUGUGCAAGCCUUCCCUGGAAGUUUCCAACCUUCAGUAGACUCCGGAGCUCAGUUAUAUCAGACAGAUUCUGCCGCAGUAAUUUUUGCGUGGGUGGGAGACAGAUUCUCAGAGCUGCCUACUCAGCCAUCUUCUCAGUUGUUUUGUCUUUAGUGUGAUUUUAAUUUGCUGAUUUAAGCAUAUAUGAUGAGUUCCAAUCCUUUGAAACUAUUGAUCUUAUUGACACUCCAGGUAUCCCAUUUUGGGCCAAUGGGAGUCUCUUCAAGGGGCCCCUAAGUUCCUUGGACACCACCUAGUCAUCUUGGAUAACUUCCGGGCCUCCAGCAUGACAGGACACUGGAGACACCCCCUCCGGUUUCCUAUGCCAGACUUAAAAUCAGUUAUUUCUUGAGGGAGCCCUGGCUCAUAUUGGUUGGAAUUGGUAUUUAUGACCACAGUUAGGUGCUGGCAUGCUUAUUAGUUCUGGAUUAGUCAUUGUGUUCGGGUUUGUUCAGUGUCUAGAGUAUCAAAUUAUAGACCUACGUGGUUUUUGUUAAGUUCAAGGAUCUCAUGUCUGUAUUUCCUUGUUCCACUCCAAAAAUCCCAGUUUCACUGCCUUCAACGUAAUUACCUACUUUCUUUAUCCUACAAAGCAUGCACCAUAGUUUCAUAAUAAUGGGACUAAAACUACGACCAGCAAUAUGAAUAGCAAAAAAUAGUUUCAGACCUUUAUCCCCAAGGGGGGAGGGUUCUUUUGUUCAGAGGUUACAUCCUCCUGGGGGUAAAACCAGAGCACUAUUCUUUGAAGUCACUUGGAUUAGUGGCUGUCCACGGGGAAGUCCACACCCCAGUGAUGAGAGAGAUUCAUGUGUUUCAUUUUGCUUUUGACUUCAAGGGUUGGUUUUUAAAGUUUAAUGUUGCUUUAAAAUGAAUAAAAUAUUAAUAUCAACUCUACAAAACAGAUUCAAGGAUGCCUAGCUUCUCAACUUGGUCUUCUCCACUGUAUUCCUUCCCUCUUCCCUUAAGUAACCUUUUAAAAUACUUUAUUAUCUAUUCUUUAGUUUAAAAAUGCAGACACACACAUCUCCUUCCUUUCUUAGAUAAUAGCAGCACACUGUGGUUUUCUUCAUCUUGCCUGAUCUCAAUAGUAUGCUCCCCCACCCGCUGGUAAGUAGUGGUCCUUUGGUUUUAGCUUUAGUUCAACAGACAGUUCCAUCUUAAUGUCUGAGUUGUUUCUAGUCUUCUGCUCUGCGAUGAUAGGUCUGCACAUUUGUCUUAUCUUUUGGGGACAGACUCCUAGAAAUGGGAUUGUAGGAUCAAAGCAUUUGUAAUUUUCUUAUAUAUCACCGAAAACCUAUAACGGCAGUCAACCAUUUUGCAUACCCAUCAGCAAAAGUAUAAAAAAGCAUCCCCCUCGGCCCCGGCCUUGCCAACAGAGUUGUCAAGUCUGUGCCUGCCAGCGCUGUAGGUGAGAAACAGAAUCUCGGAGGAAGUUAAACUUGCAUUUCUCCUAUGAGCAAGGUUCAGCAUCUUUUCAUAUUAAUUUUCAUUUUAAUUUAUUUUUCUGAGACCUGGUCAUUCACAUUUGCAGAGUAUAGGCUUUGGUUAGUGUUUUUUUUUUUUUUUGGUCUAAUUUUUAGAAGCUCUCUCUAUGUUUUGCCUGUGAGAUGUUUUCCCAGAUUGGUCAUUUGCUCUUCUCAUGGCUUCUGCUUUUUAAUUCUUUUUUUAUUUUUUAUUUUUUUUAGUUCUCGGCGGACACAACAUCUUUGUUUGUAUGUGGUGCUGAGGAUCGAACCCGGGCCGCACACAGGCUAGGCGAGCGCGUUACCUCUUGAGCCACAUCCCCAGCCCUGCUUUUUAAUUCUUUGUGUGUAAAAGUGUUUAUGCAUUUUUAAAUAUAAUUGAAUUUGUCCUUCUUUUUCUUUGGAGUUCGAGUCAUGGUGAAGCAGCUUAUUUGUAGUCUCAGAUUUUGAGAUUUACCCAUGUUUUCUUCUAGUACUUAGGAGGAUUUUUGGGUUUUGUGUGUAUCUUCUCCAUUCAGUGUCUACCUGGAGUGUGGUAGGAGAAAUGGACCAAUUUUACCUGCAUUUUUAGAAGGUUCUGCAGCUGUAUUGAAGCUGCCUAUUUUGAAAGCCCAUCUGCCCCCAUUGCCUCGCCGUGCUGCCUUGACCUUAGUGGGGUGCGGAGGUCCCUAGUUCUGGCCGGUUCGCUGGGCCUGUCUGCUCCUUCUCUAACCCAUCACAAGGCCCUUCCUCUCUUCCUUCUUCUGCUUCAGAAUUCCUCCAGCGACUGCUUGUUUCUUGCUUCCUGGGGGUUUCAUAGCCAACUUGCUCAGCUCUGCGGGAAUCGUCUGGAUGAUGUUUUUGGGGGGCUUGAACUGAAUCUACCAUUCAUUCAAGGAGAAGUAACAUCUUGAUGACGUUUCCCAUUGAAGAACACAGGGAGUCUUAGUAAUGGUUCAAAUCUCCUGUCUUCUCCCAGGAGGGCUUUCUCCUUUGUUCCUUCCCUGGACACAGGGGAGACUAGGGAUGUGCUGCUCAGAUUUCCCUUCCAGGACGGCCUCUGCCGGGCUGGGAGCAGGGGUUAGCGGGUGGCCUCCGCCUACAGUCUCUUCAGGGUCCCCCUCAGCUCCUGGUGCAAGGUUCUGCUGUUCUUGGGGAGGCCCUGGCUCUGGACUGAGCAAGGCCAGCAUGAAGGCCUGGCCAUUUCUGCCCAACCCAGAAUGAGCUGUGGGUCUGGGAGACCCCACGAUGUUUUUCAGGUGUGAGCUGAAGUUGAAUAGUGGCGAUCCUUUCCUUUACCCCCCAACACAUUUGGGUGUCCAGGACAUCAGGGUCCUUGGAAACAAAAGAGGCUCAAGGAAAAAAAAAAAGUUAACUUUAUAUAAGAAUGAGAGGAGAAGGCCCCAGCACAGGGGUGCAGAGCGGGGGCCUGCAGGGUGGAAAGGGCGGUGGGGUUGCUGGCCUGGGGGGCGCCUUCUGCGCAGGAGCAGAUGAGGCUGGAAGGAAGGUGGUUCCUUCUACCAGAACGAACAGGCCCCCCAGGGAGGCAGCUCCGUUCUAAAGCUGUCUCAGAACAGACCGUAUUCCUGUUCCAGUUUUCCUAAAGGAACUCCAGGAAAGAGGUGGAUGAUUGAUGUCUGCAGAGUUAAUGGCAACCCCACCCCCGCAAAUAAACAAAUAAACUAAAAACCCCAACCAAACCCCCCCACCAAACAAACAAUGACAACAACAAAAAUAACAUCAUCUGGGGACCAUUCUGAGCACUUGAUUCAGACUUUAUUUUUCCCAGAGAAGACUGCGGUCUCUGGCCUCCCAAGCUCUGAGAGCCUGUGGUGCUCCUGCCUUAGGCAGCGCUGUCAAUGGCUGAGGGCCUCCCUCCUCCGGUAAUGGCCUAUUAUUGCUUCAGGAACGCUGCAGCGGCUUCGCUCUGCCAGCCCUGCCUUCUGCCUUCCCUCGUUAAGGGAGCCACCUGAGUUUCUAAGUGCCCCGCCAGACUUUUUCCAAAACGUGGCAGAUGCACAGCUGCCUGGAGUCAGCCUGACCAACCGACGGCCAGAGGAGCAAGCGCAGCCUUCUGAGGGCUGGAGGGACUCCUCAGUGGGCCUCAGCAGGGGCUGCCACCAAGACCCGUGGGGCUCGGAGCAUCUUCAGUGGGGCCCCAGGCUCUCCAUCACCUGUGUGAAGCAGCAGGUCACCAGCCCCCUCCAGCUCGGCUCCCAUCUGCUGGGGGAGAGCCAGUGUCAUUGCUGUGACAGCUGAGAAGCACCCCUCCCCCCGUGGGGAAGCGGCAGCACAGGGCGCUGUGUGUGCCAAAGCCCAAAUUGGCAUCUGUGCCCAUUUAUGGGGCAGUGGCCCAUCCACGGUGGUCUCCGAGGUCCCUUAGGAAUCAUCUGGGAGACAGAAGAACAAGGCAACACAAAAUCCUAACCAAGCCCUGCGCCUGCUCCGGGCUGAGCUGCCUGCAGCCAGUCAGCAUUCGGACCUCGUCCCCGGGGGCGGGAAGCCCAGCCUCUGACCACCAGCAGGCCCGGUGGCCCAGCCCCCCACGCUCCGUGCAGCAAGAGUGGCCACAGUGCUGCCAGGAGGAUGUCCAGAGCCUGCCAGCUCCCCAUGAGCUCCGUCCUGUAGCCCCAAGUAGUGAAGCAUCGGGGCUGUCACGGCAGCUUUUCAACUCGAAGCCAGCUGUGUCCCACACCAGCCUGUCCCCAGCUCCCAGUCUGCUGUCCUACCUGGUGACACUUCAGGCCCCUCUCAGCAGGGGCUCCGCUCUGGCUGCCCAGAGGUUCUCGUGCCCGUAAGUGCAGGGUGACCCACACGGACAACCCCCUGGAACCCAAAUUCAAAUCCAUCGUCACCAGGAUGGGCCCUGAGCGUGCAGGGCUGGUGCCCGAGCCCAGGAGGAAGCCCGUGGCUCACCCGCCCGACUCUGCAAGGCUGCGGGCCACCUGCCCGCCGACUUGGUUCAUUCUCUGACCUUGGUGGAUUUAGGAUUCUUGAGCUUUCUGGGGUUUCCUGUGGAAAGUGGCCUCACAAUGACUGCAGGCCUGUGACUCCCGGGAACCCCAGACCUGCCCCCUUCUCUUCUCUGACCCAUAGCAGGAGGGACACCCCCUACUGCGAGACACCUUGGCACCCUCACCUCCCACACAGCUCCGGGUCCCCCCUGGGCUCAGGUGCAUUCUAACUUGCACCUUGUCAGAAGGUGGAGGGGGAGAGCCUGGCCAGGCCCCGUGGCUGACUUAGGGCCAUUCAGGCAGGCAUUCUGGGUGCUGGGCCCUGGAGCGUGGUCCAGAACAGGCAGGGGCUUGGGGAAUGGGCCUGUCUCCUUCACCAGCACCCUGGAGACGGGUGACCUGGGCCCACAGCAGUGUCCACGGCAAAGCUGGCCCUGUGGCAGAAGGAGGGGUGGCUCAGGGCACGGAGGAGUCACCACGGGGUCCUGCAGGCUCCCAGGCCAUCAGCGGCAGGUGGGGCCUGUGGAGGUGGUGGAGAGGCAACAGAUCUGCAGAGAGCUUCAGGGGAGUGUGGUGGGGAGGAGGAGGGAGUCCGUGCAAAGGAGCAGGGAGCAGGACAACCUGGCCAUCAGAGGACGCCUGGGUCUGGCAGACAGGGCGGGGGGUUGGCCGGGGAGCAGAGAGGUGGGCCUGAGCCUCCUGGGCAUCCAUGUGGGCAGGGACACGAAGGCUGUCCAUGGCAGAGGAAAACCCCUGUUUAAACAGGAGUGGCCCGUGUGUCCUUGGGCAGCACUCAGCGGUGCCCUCACUUGGGCAGAUGCUGCUGUUUGCAAUGUAUAUAAAGAGGAUCUGAGGCUGCAGCAGAGACCAGACCCAGCUGGCAGCCCAAGUCAGAGCUGGCACACUUAAUUUUUACUUGUAGCUUUGUUUGCUUGAACUACUGAAUAACAAAGAAAUUCAGUUGCCGCUAGAAUUUUGUUUUUAAGAGCUGUAUUUAUUAGAUGCUUUUAUUGUGCUGGGAGGUUUACAAGGCUUUUCAAGCCACAGUACUGUUCCAAAUAAAUGAAUCCAAGUCCUGCCCCAGGAUAUUAGGGACAAAUAACACAGAAAUCGUUCUUGUUCUCAUUUUCGUUUAUGUCUUCUGGGAGGCUCGUAGGAGUGCUUGUUUGUGGUCUGAGUCUGAACAGCAGAGACGCCUGGAGGGAGUGAGUUUUGAACAGGACUUUUCCACCCAAUAGAACAAGAUGGAAUUUGAAUCCAUCAUGAUCACCUCUGCGGGACACAGCUGCGUCUUGGUGCAGCAGAAGCCCUUUGUGAUGGCUGGGCGGUUGGCAUUCCAACUCCUCACUUCUGGAAACUAAAAAUGAAAUGGUACAGAGGGACAAGAAGAGGUCUUGGAAUCUAGGGGCAGGUGAUUCCUUCUUCAGAACCCAUCCCCCUUUCCUCUUGGCCAAUUUUGUCCAGAUGUCCACUCAGUCUACACAGGGCUCAGGGAGGGUCAAAUCCACUCACUGAGGUCUCAUUCUCCUUUUCUGUGAUUGACCAAUGAGAACCUCUUCUAGCCUUUGUUAAGUCUGGUUGUAACGCCAAGACCUCUGCAGCCAUAUUGCAAUCAUGAGGAGAGCUAGCUUAAAGACAGGUUAACUUGAUGAGUGAGUCGAAGGGGAAGGUGAAAAGAAUCCAGGUCUUUGAAGAUGUCAUUCCAUCACUGAGUUAACCAUCCUAAGACCCACCUUAUCUUGAAGAGUUUUAUUAGGUCAGGUAACACAUUUUUCUUCCUGUAACUGGCAAAAUUCUCCCCAUGAAGGGGAACAAUGUCCUCUUCCUAAACCUGCCAUGUGUGUCUCCCUCUUGGGUCUUCAUGCAAUAGUGUUGUGGGAAGGGUGAAAGGGAGAGAGGGUGUUCCGCUGUCUUGUUCUCCAGUCACAGAUGUGAUGCAUGUGUCCCAACUUCCCCUUCCUGCCAGCAGUGGGACGUGUAGCCAGAGCCCAGGGGCCAGGUGUGUGAAGGCUGAUUCUAGACUCUGCUUCUGGGGUGGAGCUGGUGAAGGGGCGCUGCUCCCUCUCUGCAGAGCAGAGACUGGCUCGCCCACCCCUGGGGCCCCCUGGCUCCCUCAGUGGGGGGUGGCCACUCCUUACCACGCAUUGUCCUGGGCAUUGUCCUGUGUGUACCUGGGCUGCCCGUCCCUCUGCAGCAGGGGCAAGAGGUCUCCCCUCUGCGUAUUUCGGUGCUGACGCGGUGCCUGGUGGGGGCUAUGGAUCUGGGCUAAGCCCUAAGGAGAAGUUUCCCUUGGAAUUUCAAUCUGGGUCUUUUGGGGGCUUGGGCUGGUGCUGGCCUGAGAAACUCCACAGGGCCAGGGUCGCGGGACCCUGUCAUUUUGUCAAAUGUUGCCACAUGAAUAGCAGCAGGCGUGUGCAGAGUGGUGCUCAACCACCUGCUCUUCCCACAGGCGUCCAUCUGCACAAACACCGUGCCGGGCCUUGGUGGGCAUGCGGUACUCACCCUCCGGGCAGCGGAGGAAAGUGAGUUCCACAGGAAGGCAGGGCCCCAAGGACUGCAGAGUAGGUGUGCAGUGGACCUGGUCAAGGUGAGGGGAACGGAACGUGUGCGCAACCAAGGCUCUUUCUAGAAAUGAGAACUGGGAUCGGUGGCUUGUGACCUUGGCUCCACCGCGGUCAUUCCCUUGCUCUCUCUCCCUCAGCCGUGCUGGCCUUUCUUCCUUAGCUGUGGCUGCUCCCUCCUCCCUGCCCUGCCCACCCAGCCUGCUGGACUCCACGGUCUUUCAGGGCUCAGACCAAGUGUCCCCCCCUCAUUAUUUAUUGAGCACUUACUACAUGCAAAGCCCAGGGCCAGAGGUUGGGAAGCCUCCGGCCUCCUCACCCAGAGCCCUGGUCCUGGUCUUGGCCUUCACAGAGUCCACCACAGCUGGCAGUCUCAUGUUUGUGUGGCUGCUGGUUGGUGUCCAUGCCUCAGGCUGGGACAGGUGGGCAGACGUCCUGUGCAUGUUCUGCACAGGGCUCUUGGCAUGGAGCUCAGUGCCCAGCGCACGUUAGGGAGCCGAUGAACAACUUUUCUGAAAAAGUGAAUGAACUUCAGAGGGAUUUGGUGGUGACCUGGUCAAUCCCAGGACACGUGCUUGUCCUCCGACAGGGAUUUUGGGUAAGGCAGCCCCUCCUCCGGCCUUAGAUGGACAGCCCAGGACCUGAGUGCGCAUCCGAGGACUUGGGCACAGAUCUUGCUCUGAAAGAUCAGGGAUUUGUAUAUUUUAAAUUCAAAUUUGUUCCAUCUUUACUCGGUAUUUUGACCUGAAGAAAGCGCCUGCACAAAUGUCAGGCUUUUGUUCAUGGGGAGGCGGUGGGUGGGUGCUCUGCGUGGGAAUGAGCCCCGGGUCCCCUGUGCUGGGGGUGAGCCCUGGGUCCCCUGUGCUGGGGGUGAGCCCUGGGUCCCCUGUGUUGGGGGUGAGCCCUGGGUCCCCUGUGUUGGGGGUGAGCCCUGGGUCCCCUCUCUGGGGAGGAGCUGGGCUGGUUUUGUUCUGGAUGGAUUGUUCUGGAACCCCAGCAGGAGAAAGACAGGCACUCGGCAGAGCUGGCCCAGGAGGACUGUCUCGUCACAGGUUCCUUCCCGUCCGUGGCAGAGCUCCUCUUUGGCUGGAAGGCAGCCCCUCGGCCCCUGCACAGGCCAGUCACUGACACACUGCAGAGUUAGGUUCUGGGGAAGAACCAGGAUGUAUUUGUUAUUAAGUUGCGCUGUCCGCAGACUGUGUGGCCACGGCUCAUGCUGGAGACGCCUGGUUCCCUGUCACCCAGGACCACGUGGCUCCAUCGUCACGCGGCUCCAUCGUCCUUUCAGGACCAGGCUGUUCGGUCCUCUGACAACCCUGCCCAGGAGAACGUCCCUUCAGACCAGGAGCCAUGGUGUGGCUUGUCUGAAGUGCCACUGCUCCUGUGUGGUGCAGGUGGGCUAGAAUUGGAGCCUCUGGCCUCUCUCUAGGGCCUCCUUUGGAAGCUGGGCGAGCUAAGCCAAGAAGGUGGCAGGGAGGGUGGGUGUGCACCAAACAAACCUUGCAGAGUGGUUCAGUGUGCACACUGAGCUGCAGGUCCAGUGCAGCUUGCAGAAGACCAGACCUCGGGGAAGAGCCAUUGAGUGGGCCCCGUGGGACGGCUGGCCCCUGAAAAACAGCGACAGCAACUACAGCAUUCCCUUCUGCACCCAAACGUGAGUCAGCGGAGGAAGCAGGGCUCACUACUGGGGACCAAAGUGUUUGAGUCUCUCCUGCAAGGGCAGGGCCUUGCAUUACAUGUUCUGAACUGUGAGAGAGCGUCCAGCCCUUCACUAAUAACAUCUCAACAUCUUCUAAUGGCUUUGACUCACGACUGGUUUAGGUGUUUGACUUACAUAUCCAUCUUCCAUGUGGCAAACUGGUCUAUUUUCAUAACACCUUGGCAAAUCCCAUGGUGCUUGAGCCCAAUAAUCACCACGCUUAGACUCACGUGUUAUAAACACUGCGUCGUUGGAAUGAAGUCUGCUUGUUCAUUUCUUAAAUAUUUUGUGAAUGUGGAAUUGUGUUCUGCUGGCUAACAUUUUACGUGGUGUGUUCGCAUUGAUAUUCAUGAAUGAUAAUGAGUCUGCAAUUUCCUUACAUGUGCAGUGUUUAUCAGGCUCAGGUAUCCAUGUGGUAUUGAUGGCUCUUAGUAGGAGCUAGAAUGUCCAGUGCCCUUGAAAAAUCUGUAGGUUAAUCCUCGGGGAAAAGAAAGAAAGAGAGAAAAUAAAAAGAAAGCAGAAAAUUCCCAAAUUUCAGAAUAAUUGUAAUUUAAAAGAGAAAAAAAAAAGAUCAGUAUAUCAAGGUGCAGGAUUUCUGGUGCUUCUUUUCUACUCCCACUCCCUGGAGGCUGAGCGAGGCAGGCCCGGGAAACCUGCCGUCGGGCAGAAGAGGAGCCAGGGGUCUGAACCCCCACGGGAGAUGUGAGGUCUGCCCUAAAUCUGGACUGCAUUUGGGCAGGACUCACAUGGACCCCAAAUAAGGGUCUUCAAAUUGGGCCCAAUUUGAAGGAAUGAUUCUCAAAAUGCACAGCUUCUGGGGAGAAGAGGCGACGAGGAGAGAGGUGUGUCUCUAGCAACUGGUGGUGGGGGGAGAGGAAGCCAAGGGGAGUUCAGGGUCCUGCAGGACAGGACAGAACCAAGGACCAGAGGACACUCGGACACUCCCCUCUGCCCACAGGAACGGACCUCGAACCCACCAAGUGAACGGACUCCACCAGGCUGAAGAACUGGGUGCCACUGAGCUCCAAACACCACACCACAGAGAGAACACCACCCCAAGACUGCAGCCGCAGGGGGACUCCUCACCAAACCCCAAAACCACAUCACACACCAUUGAGGAAAUCCCCCUGGAGAACGGGGGGCGAUACCUGGGACAGAAGCACGUGCUCCACAUGCACGUGAAGAUACAAAGAAUCACUUAGAAUCAGAAAUUCAAAAAAAAUAAGAUAAAUGUAAACCAACAAACAGAAUGAGGAAGAGUUGACCCAGUUCUGGAAAAAAAUGGAAGAAAAAGACAAAACCGUCUGAGACGUGAAGAAUACGUGACAAGUUUCCCGAGGGACAGCGACCUGGGGGAGGCUGACCCAGAGCCCUGGAGAAGGGGAGGGACAGGACUUGGGCUUUCAGAGGUGGGGCAAGGCGACAGUGACCUGCGGGAAGCCCGUCUGUCCCCCUUGGGCUGGCUGGAGAGCCACGCGCUGCCGUGCGGUCAGGGCUGCAGAACCAGCUCUCUGCAGGUGCGGGCAGCAGGUCCGUCCUCCCCCAGCGGGGGCUUCCCGGGGCUCCGUGCCAGCCGGGAGACCGCGGGGAAAACCCAGCAAAGAGCCCGACGGGCGGGCGCGCCCUGUCAGUGCAGGUCUCCGACAAACCCCGGAGAGGACAGGGGCCGGGGGCGGUGGGUGCCUAGGCCCAGUCUCUCACGUCAGCGCGCAGGACACACACCAGCGAGGGCCCAUACUGGGGAGUCACAGAGAGUGGACAGGGAGGUCCCACGGGGCAGAGGCCCCAGUGACCCCUGCUGCUCUGCGUGGGCGUGCAGAGGGGCCACCCGCAGACCAGGGCCUCAGUCCAGCCCUGUCCCCGUCCCACCUCUGCGAACGUCAGCUGUGGAUGGCAGCACCCCUCUCCCAGCUUGUAAAUAAAAAUCCGAGUGGACAACAUUGUGGGCACUUUAUACUAAUCAUGUACUUAGUUUAAUUGUCUCAUUUAGUGUGAUUCUUAGGAAGCCCUGGGAGCUCUCCAACCCCCAACGCAGAAGGGGGAACACGCGUGUGACCAAGCAAGUGCCUGCCCAAGGUUCUCAGGUCCUUCAAGAGCAGCGGCAGCUCCAGAAUCUGGCGGGUUUGCCUGUCUACGCCUCUGCUGUCCCCUCCCACCGUGCCCCUGGCCGCCUGUCCCCCAGGAGCAGUUAUGGACAAGGAGAGCCUCGGGGUGAUGCUGCCUGGUGCUGGCCACGCAUAUCUCUCUUUGGUGGCCACUGCGCUGCCUGAGCUCACCACGCGCCCAGAGCAGGUGAGGUCCCCCCGAGGUACAGGGGAGGAAGUGAGUCCAGACCUUUGAGAGGGGCAGGGUAGAGAACAGGACUCGGGCCUCCCCGUUCAGGCCAGCUGCUUCUUACCACAGGCAGAGCCCCCUUGACAUCUAGCUGAGGGCAGGGGCCCAGGGGACAAGGUAAUGUAAAAUUAAAAUCAAUUAAAAUAACCUAAAGUAGGUUAUUGAUCUACCAAGCAAAUCAAAACCUGAUUUUACCAAGCAAAUCAAAACCUGAAAGUAGCUUUAUCCUAAAACUUGAAAUAAAGAGGGCCAUCACUGGGCUGGAAUGGCUCCUGAGGGUACCAGCUGGACGUAUCCUGUGGCCACCCGGCUCUGGGAUUUUCUUCUGCUCUUCUUUCAACAUAAGGCAACCCUCCUGGUCAUCUCACAGCCAAGCAGACCUGCAUCUCCCAGGCCAGCGCCCCACCCACGGUGCCCUUCAUCAGCCAGCAAGGAGGAAUUCUCCCUGAGGUUCCCAGCUCUUGUUUUUCAAGUUAGAAUUGAUUUUACUUUUAUUACCAUUUUUACUUUUUAGUGGAAGUUCACAGCAUGCAUAAAACUUUAAAAUACAAUUUAUAAAAGCUGCCAGAUAAGUUGAAACAACACAUUGGGCAUAUUAUGCAACAGUGUAUCCAAUAUGCUCUUAGAGAUAUACCAAAUUGGGUAGUUCCACCAUGCACGUAUUUAAAAGCCACUGUAUCUUCCAAUUAAAGAUUUUAUUUUGAGGUAAUUGGAGGUCUCCAAGCCAUUCUGAGAGACACAGAGAGCCUGCGGCUCUUCGUCCAUUUUCUACCUGUGGUGACGUCUGGCCUGAUGAUGGCACAGUGUCACAGCCAGGACAUGAACCCUGACACAGCCCACCCAGCUGAUUCAGAAUCUCCUUGGUGUGAGUGUGUGUCUGCCGCUGAGUAGAGCCGGUCAAGUGUGCAGGUUCCCAUCUCUGCCACUGUCACGAAGCACACAGUCCGUCACCACCAGGGACCCUCCUGGUGCCCUAUCCCAGCCAUGCCACCUCCCUCUUGCCACCUCUGGCCUCCAUCCAUCUGUCUUCCAUUCUAGAAUUUGGUCAUUUCAAGAGUGUGACACAGUGGGGUCAGACAGCAGAUAAGCUUUUAGACUUGCUUUUCAUCUGAGCGCUGAUAGAGCCACCAUCAUCACUACCCCUUGAUCAAGUGACUUAAACUCACAGUCCUUGGUUUCCUCCUCUAUAAAAUGGGGUGAUAACCACCAUUUACAUAUCAUAAGACAUGAUCUGGAACUUGGUGUUGUGGCUGCCGGGUGACUGUGACCCUCCUUGAUGCUCUGCCAUGAUGGGUUGUGAGCCUCCUGCAGCCCUCCGCUGCACACCUCCCAGAAGAUGCCGGCUGUUGCAGGCUCUCGGUCAUCUUUGUGGGAUACAGUCAGCACUUUGUGGUAUCUCGUGAAGAUGUGCUGUCCUGGAAAAGACACUUCGAACUGAGAGGCUGAUUGCUAUUUGCUUGUAGUGAAGAGGAGAACAGGUACUAGAGGAAGACGGCACAUACAGGGGGCCAGCAAUGUCACUGUAGGACCUGGGGACACAGCAUCAGAGGAAAGCGUCCUGGAAACAGACCAGAGGGGGAUCCUGGGAACAUAACAUCUCAGAGAGGAAUCCUGGGAGUAUCUGAUGGAGAGCGGGAUCCUGAAAUGCCCAUCAGAGAUGGAGAAGUCAGGGAUGCGGCGGCAGAGAGAAGAAGGCUGGGGACGUGCUGUUAGGUCUAGAUCCUGGUGACUAGGGAGGCAGCUCAGUCCCCAGCCCUUGUCCAGCAGGUAGGCUCUGUGUCUGACUCCUCAGUACCACUCCCCACCCCCCCAGACAUAGGGAUCCCAAGAAUACACCCUUGGAGGGGUCCUGGGAAUUCCUGGGACUACAUCAUCAUUGGAGACGGAGACACUGGGUACCCCCAUCAGAGAGGGAUCCUGGGAACACAACAUCCAAAAGAGGGAUUCUGAGGAUGCCCAUCAGAGAGCGGCUCCCAGGAAUGGCUGUGUUAGCCAGCUUUUCAUUGCUGUGGCAAAAUACCUGAGACAAGCUACUUGAAGGAGGGAAGAUUUAUCUUGGUUCAUGGUUUCAGAAGAUCCAGUCUAAGUCCAGCCGACUCCAUUGCUCUUGGCCUGAGGGGAGGCAGAGCAUCAUGGCAGAAGGGUGCGGGGAAGGAGAGCUGCUCAGCUCCUGGCAGCCAGGAAGCAGAGAUAGAGAGAGGGGCAGGGGACUGCUGCAUUCCCAAGAGCAUGCCCCCAAGGACACAGUCCUUUCACCUAGGCCCCAUCUCCUACUCAUCAAAUACUGAAUCAAUAGGUUAACCCAUUGAGGGGAUCAGAGCUCUCAUGAUUCAGUUACUUCCCCAAAUCCCCACCUCUGAACAUUGCAGAGUCUCUGGGGGACAUUCAAGAUCCAACCAUAACAGGCCAUCAGAGAGGGCUGUGGGGAAUGGCUAUCAGAGAGAGCUCCUCUUCAGAAAGCCAGCUGCCCGUCACUUCCUGCCUCUGAAGUUCUCAGUCAGAAGUUUAAGAUCUUGAGAUGUUUAAGGCAUUAAAGGCUAUAGACAGGACUGAGGGUGUAGUUCAUUGGUAUAGAGCUUGCCCGGCAUGUAUCAGGCCCUGGGUUCAAUUCCCAGGACCCACUCCCCAAAAAAGCUAUGGACAGUCAAUGUCAUUAAUUCUCUAAGAAACUGAAGUAUGAAAGGUUUUAAUCUUAUAUAUUUAAUUAAAGUUCAUAUUGUCUUUUGACAGCUAGGAAAAAAUGCUUUGUUAUUCCUAACAACGGUAGGAAUAUUGCAAAUCUCACUGGAGAACCUCAGAGUCACACAAUAAGGACCAAUACUGCUUCUUCCAGGUAACUAAGCAACUAUUACAAACCCAUUUGCAUAGGAAUAUACUGCACCGUGUCUAGGCAGCUCUUAGUGCGUUUGCUCAUCGUGAGGGGCAACUUCUGGCACUUUUAAUGCUUUCCCCCAAAGAACCUCUCUAACCGUGCACAAGCAAUUGGACCUCCCAGUUGGGAUGAUAUAAGUGGAAUUAAAUCUUUUAAAAUGAUGUCUUGAUGGCUGUUGGAAUUCCUGGGCCUCUGCUGUGACUUGACAGCUGGCAAUUGCUGAUUUGCUUUUAUGCGAAUUUAACUGACUCUUUCAUGACAGGAUCCUGCUAAACUUAAUGACUUGUGGGCUUCUCCUACAAGCUGCCCCAGGAGUGGGCUAGACAGUAGACACGGACCAGGGCGAGGGAGGUGCUGGCCUCUGACUUGCUAACUUCAGGCCCUGCUACCCCAGAGCUUUUGCAUGGAAGGUGCUCAGUAAAUGCAUGUUGAGGAAAGCUGUUGUUUUCCCAGGGAAUCAGUGAACAAUCACUAACAGGCCAGCAUCAUUCCUAGCUGCCCUGGCAUCGACUCUUGGAAGGAGAAUAGGUUUUGGGAUGAGACCCAGCUGGGUUCAACUGUUUUCUUUAACAUUUAGUAGCUGAGUGUCUUGGGGGAAAUUACUUAAUCUCCUUGGAUGUGUCUCCUCAGGGUGCAGGAGGCCUACCUUAGGGCGCUGUGUAUAUUUGAAGAGUUUAUACGAGUUAAUGCCUGAGGCAGUGAGCCCACGGCACCUUGCAUCCAAGAAACACUGGCUUCCUGUUUCUUCCUCCUUUAAAGUGUUUAUAUCUCCGUCUUCCGCCAUGUUGCUCAUGCCUUCCCCACCCCACAUGGUCAGCAGAAUUCAGUCAGAGAAGUCUGACUCCAUGCUCAACUCUGAGCCACUCUGCCGUGUGUGAGGGAGUCAGAAGCACAGCUGGUCCCCAGAGGCUGAGAAGUGGGAUGGCACUUGCCAGGCAGGAGGCUGAGGGCCAACCCCUGGAUCCUGAUGGCACAUUGGAGGUGACCAGGAAGCAUCCGUGGGCCUUCCGUUCUCCAUACACACUUCCACCCUGGCCCCUCUCCUUAGCCCGGUCUCCAUCCUGGGCAGUUCUCAGGACACACACCGAGGAGCAAGCGUCGCCACAUUUCUUCUCCCCAGACUUAUUCUCUGCACCGCGGAGUCCUGGAAUACAAGUUCAUCAUAUGCAAUGAAGAUGGCCUGGGUGGCAGAUGGUGACAUACCAGGAACAGAACCUUCCUCAUUAUUCUGCUAUUAACUGAAUUUACCUUUAGACUUGUCAUCCCCUUGAAGUGACAGAAACUUAACUUUGGUUACUUUGGGGUCUCCUCACUCUCCCCAGGUAGCACCUUGGUACCAGAGGCUUAAGCCACACCAGGUGUAUUUGGGGGCCAAUCACGGCUGGCUCCUGUGUCCCGUGGACACCUGCUGACUGCUCUGCCAACCCACUUGUUCUUCCUGUCUCCCCUCCCCCACAGUUCUUCUUCCUGCCUAGAAAGGUCUAGAAGCCUGGGUUGCUGCUUAUUCCAUGCUGUGCUGGGACCAUCCUUCCUGGCCAUCACUCCACUCUGCAGGACCACUAUCCCAGGCUGACUGUUGCCCAAGCACCCUGGACAGCAGGCAUGGCCGUUUCCUCUGUGGGUCCUCCUGCCCCCGGGACAUACAUGCUGGAAGGCAGCUCAGGAAUCCCCCACAUCUGCACAGGGUUUGCUCAGGCCCUGGGCUCUUGGCUUGGGCUUGGUUGUCCUUCGGGGGGUCUCCUGACUCAGAGUGAAACUGCACUCUCCGGCUCUUGCUAAAGCCAGGCCUGAAUCACUUUGGGGCAAAAUGUGGGCAACACAGCCACCCUCUGGCCCUGUCCUCAGAACCAGGCCUCCCUGGUAACAGAUGUGCUCCAAGCGCAAGUGAGGGCCUUGCUGCCGACCUCACGGGGGUGGGGUGGGGGGUCUUGGUAGCAGAGGACGAGCCCUGGUUCUCUGGGUGUGGGUUUGGAGCAGGCAGAGGGAAGCCCAGGAAUGUGCCCCACAGUCCUCCAUGUCCUGCAGCAGCACCCAAGAGCCUUUGCAUGGUCUCUAGCCACAGGCUUCUCCUCAUUUUCUACUUCAAAAGGGUUUUGAAAUGCCUGGGGUGAGUCUGUACCUUAAUAUGGAAAUAUAAACCUUCCCGAGGUGACAAGGACAUUUAGCUACAAGAAAGGACAUACUUUGGGAGGGUGCUUUGCCCUUCCAAUCAAGUUUUCCUGGUUGCUCCCUCCACCCCACCCCACCCCACCCCCACCCGCUCUCCAGGAGGAUUUGUUUGUCAGCCUGCAGGGGUUUCCUGGGAGUGACUCUGCGUGUCAUCUGACGAUCUCACUGUCCUCAGUACCUUCACCAGUGCUACAGGGAAAGAGAAUGAGGGUGAUGGCUCUCUUCCUCUUCUUACAGGGCCACCAAAGCUACUGAAUGAGGGUCCCCCCCCAUGACCUCGUUUGACCUGACCACCAGGCUUCACCCUGUGGAUCUGGGGAGACACAGUUCAGCCCAGAGCAGUGUCCUCAGCCUCCACCCUGGGGUCAACUCUUUAGCUCUUGUGCCUUCCCCCUGAGCUGGAAGUUUCUGGAUCACAAGAGGCACAGUGUCCACCAUCUCCAUCUGGAUCUGCAUCCCAGCCUGGCCUCCCCAGGUCGCCCUCAGCUCAGGUGGGGAGGGUGCAGGUGUGAGGGCUGGUGCUUGGAAGCCAAGAGGCUUAGUGUGCAGAGAAGACCCAGGGCCGCAGAGCCUGGCGCUCCGUGGUCUCCUCUGGUGGCUGAGGGCCAUGUGGGAACCAAGCCUGCAGGUGAAGCUGCAGCAGGCUGAGGUUCUGGGUCUUUCCGAUGACUCAAGUCUCCUCUCUGAGGAGCUUCCUUCUCUUGGACAAUCAGAUCUAGAGUCCACACGAUGCCCAAGGCAUGGGAAUGUAAAACAUAUGGUAGGUUCGUCCACAUACAGCAAGGGCGGUGGGCGGCGGCAGGGCUGUUUUAUUACAGAAGCUGGUAAAUUUGGAAAACAUCAUUUGGUCUGCUACAUGUCUAAUUCUCCAUAAUAAUGAGAGCUUUGAGAGGCUCAAUAUAUGUACAUUUGGUUGGCUUAAGCCCUUGAAAUUUUCUGGUGCAAUUUUAACAUUUCUCAUUAUAUCCAAGUUCCCUGUCUUUAGUUUGUAAGUCAGGUAGGGAAACAUUUGCUAUCUGAAAGACUUUUCCAUGGUCUGAAAAUCAGCUCCCAGUGUUGGAAGAGGAUGCCCUCCCCUGGCCCCGUUCAUGCUCGGGCUAUGCAGCAGAGCUGCUGGAAGGGUCUGUGUCAAUUAUCUCUCCGUGGGGCUGGCGGGAGCUUGUGCAGGGUACGCUGUGGGACUGAGAUAAGAAAACAAUCAAUUUUUCAUAAUUAAAAAAAUUUCCUAUUUAAUUUUCAAAUAGGAAGGAGAAGGAAGGGUUUUGUCCAGUAUUUGUACAGACCCAGUCUUAAAAUCUGGGCAUGACAUUAACUGAACUCACUUGUUCAAUCACGCGAUGCUUGUUUUUUAGAAAGCUGUCCGUCACACUGGCAAGAAGGAACUCAGUCCCAGCCCUCCCAGGCUGGUCCCAAGGGCAGAUGCUGACAAAGUGCAGAAGGAGAGGGAGGGGCAUCACAGAGACCCAUCACUGCUCUGACGAAUUCCCUGGGUGACUCUCCAGAAGCAACGUUAAGACUGAGUUCUGGUUCAAAAGAUGAACUGAGUGUGAGCAUUUAUCCUGCCGUCUUCAGUAGCGCUGUCGAAACAAUAUUAAGUGUAAAAUUAAGUGCAAAAAAGAGGAGGCGGUGAAGGGUGACCAUUAGGAGCCAAGAGAUUGUCAUGGAUUUCAAGAAAAUAGGCUGAGUUGGGAGGGCUGCCAUUGGGAAUGAGCCCAGAGAGGGCAGACAUGGCAGCUGCUCCUUUCCUCCAAGCCUGGGGGCGGGAGGCGUGGGGCACUUGAAGGACUGGGUGCUAGCCAGGGUGUUGGCCCCAGAUUAAAAGAAGAGAAAAUAGAAAACUAUCUACCAGGAAGGACUGGAUCAUGGGUGUGAGUUCUGACACACCUGAUAAGCAUCCUGCUGCUGGUACCCAGGUGGGACACUGCCCAACUUUCCUGCUUCCCACCCUUGAAUCAGAAUAAGUCUGUGAACACAAGCUCGUCCGUCUAGUACCCGGGUACCCAGAGAAACAACUAGGAAGAGCAUGCGUUUCAUGUCAGUGAUUUAUAUGACUCAACCAAGACCUGUUUUUGUAGAUAUUGAAAAGAAAAGUCUAUAUCAUCACGCCCCUAGAAACCAAAUGGCAGAAGAGAAGGAAUCAGUGGGAACAAAUGCAAGGAAACAGGCACGGACAGAGACAGCCUCAGGAAAGUACCAUUGAGGUCUCAGCGUGAUGUCCUAAAGUACUUUCCCUAUAAAAGAAGAACCAGAAACCAAGAAGAAAGAACAGGAAAGAGAUGGUUGCCCUGCUGGGGAAUCCAGACCAUGACAGUUCUGUCUGCUUCCUCUGAGAAAAUUCCCAAAGAAAAUGGGCUUUUUAUCAGAUUAUAUCAAUUGACCAAAACGUCGUGCCUUGGGAUAGUCCAAUCUUGGCAACACAGGGGUGGAAAUCUGAAAAUGAUGACUCACAUUUUUUUCUUUUUUGGUACUAGAGAUUGAAGCCAGGGAUACUUAACCACUGAGGCACAUCCCCAGCCCUUUUUAUUUUAUUAGAGACCAGGUCUUGCUGAGUUGCUCAGGGCCUCAUUGAAUCGCUGAGGCUGGGUUUGAACUCAUGAUCCUCCUGCCUCAGCCUCCUGAGUGGCUAGGAUUAUAGGCAUGAGCCGCUGAGCCUGGCUGACUCAUAUUUUUUACCUGACGUUUGAUUUCAUUGUAUAAACUUACCCAUUGACGUGCUCAAUCCAAUAGCUUUCAGUAUGUUUGUGAAGAUGCACAGCCAACGCAGAUACUGAACAUUUCCUUACACGUAAGAGGAGUCCUACCCCCAGAGGCAAACAUUCUCCAGACCUCUGGUCCCAGGAGACAGUUCCCUACUGUCUGUCUCUGUGAAUUUGCUUCUUCUGGACCUUUCAUGUAGAAGGAGUCAUAUGAUGUGUGACCUUUUGAGUCUGAUUUCUGUCACGUAGCAUGGUAUUUUUCAAGGUUCCUUCAGGUUGUAGCAUGAAUAUGUACUUCAUUUCCUUUUACGGAUGAACAAUAUUCCAUUCUAUGGAUAGAACACAUUUUGUUUAUCCACUUAACCAGCUGAUGGGAUUUGGUUAAUGCUUUUUGGCAAUUACGAAUAAAAUUGCUAUAAACAUUUGUAUAUAAAUUUUCGCACAGACUUUUUUUUCAGUUUUCUGAGGGAUAUUUAUACACCUACAAAUGGAAUGGCUCUAUGGUAAACGUAUGGUAAAUUGACAUUCACAUUUUUGAGGCAAUGCCGAAAUGUUUUCCACUGUGACUGUGUCACUUUACAUUCCCAGCAGCCGCCUGGGAGGGGUUCUGGUUGCCCCACACCUCCGCCAAGGCUUCCAUCAAUGGCCAUCCCGGUGGGUACACCGAGGUGGUGGCUCUUGUGGUUUCCAAGACUGAGCCUUUGGCCAUCUUUUCCUGCCCUCCCCACUCGGUCAGACACUUGAUGCUCUUAGCCUUCUAUCCUCCAGACCAGCCAGAGGGGAGAACCUAGGCCCCUUCCAGGGCUUCCUGGGACGUGCAACACUGUUGCACAUGGCCUCGGCCUUGUGGGUCCUAGAACAUGGCAGAGCUUCUCAAAACCCUCCCCACCCCACGUCUCCUGGACACCUCAGCUUAUCUUUUUAAGCUUUUGGGCUAGCUUCUCGUUUGUCCCACUGAUAUCCCUGUGGCAGGCAGUUGUUAAACAAAUGCUGCUGGUUGCUUCUGAAGAACGUCCCAGGGAAGAGCUGUCCCCACCGAGUGAGCUCUGGAAGACAAGCCCUGCCAGCGC
rnacentral:lncRNA from 1 species